AAUUAGUAAGGAAAGGAGGAUCUUGACGUUUCACACAAUGACAUGACAUUGUAAUUGCAACUUCUGCAUAAUCCAUUCCCCAACUUUGAAAUAACAAGAUCAACUAGCUCAAUAUACUUUUAAGAAUCCUCUAAUAAAAUUAACAUGUGACCUCUAUAUAGCGGCUAGUUGAGUGACAUUAUUUUCCAAUCCCGCCCAGUUGACCAGGUCAACAUAUCCAAUUGCAUCAAUUAGUGGGACUUGGAACCUCAUAUCUUAUCAUCUCAUAUUUUUUGCUAAAGCUAGGCUUCAUUAGCUCAUAUUCUAUAAGUUCUUCUAGAAAUCAAAUAAACUGAAAUAAACAUCAUUUUUAGAUUUAUGAAAUAAAAAUCCGAGUGAAUUAUAAGCUACAAACUAAUUGGAUUAUACUAUCAAAUUGAAUUAUUUAUCAUUUAACUACCGACCUUCAACCAAAAUGCCCAUUAGCAAAGCUUCGGUCCCAGUUUUUGGGCACUGAACUUCCUGGCCUCCAUCUAUGCAAUUGCAAAUGACUUUAUUGCCCUCGCCAACCAUCUACACACCAUUGUUCAAUUGUUCUCAAUGCGGCAAUGCCAACAUCCAAAAUAAAUCUUUAAACAAUAAAAUUCAACAACAACCCAUGUUUAAAUUUUUAAAUAAACACAAAAUUGAAAAAACAUACUUAGGUUUUCGCUCUGAUGCAUUUCUCUCCAGUUUUUAGCAAACUUAAAAUUGACAACAGGAAAAAUAACUCAAAUGAACAAUAAAUAAAUGUGCAUAGACAACGUACGUGAAUGAUUUGUGUCCUGGGAGGAGAGCGACGAGAGUGAGCGGCGCUGGUGGAAGCGGAGAGAGAUGAGAGUGAGGGUUGAGGCACUGUCGGUCGACAGUGGAAGCCGGAGAGAGACAAGAGUGAGCUAAGGCGCCUGUGGUCGACUGUGGAAGGUGGAGGGAGAGAGAGAGAGAGUGAGAACUGAAACGCCUGGGGAAAUCAUGGAGAGGCAAAGUCGAUGGGGAAAAGAUAAUGGGAGAAAUGCUGUGUUUUUAGGGCUUUGCAAUGAAUUUUUUGACAAUAUAACAUGGCGUGCUUUUUAGUGCAAGUCGUAAAUGCCCGUUAAUACGGCGUGCAGAGACUGCAUGCCGUAAAUGCUCUAAUUACUUGAUCUUUCAUGGCAUACAUACAUCGCAUGUCGUAAUUGGUCUAUUUUUAUGGCAUGCCGUAGAUGUACGCCGUAAAUGCAUGCCAUGAAAAGCUACUUUUGUUGUAGUGAUAGUGUUUUCUGUAUGUAACAAGAGAUUUACUUUAACAAGUCAAUUCAAUUAACAGAAGCAAUUAUAGAAGCCUCCAAAAGUAGUUAUGUUGUGAUGCAAGUUUGCUAUAAUUUCCAUCCAUUGUAUAUUUUUAGGUGCUUAGUACCAGAUCAAGAAAAUGGAUCUGGUAUGUUUGACUUUAGCCGCUUAAAUUCUUACGUGUGGUUUUUAUUUAUUUUGUUUGAAUGGGAGCUCACGAAAUGCACUUCAAAAUAAAGCUGCUAAUGACAUUGCUUAUAAGUAAAAAAAUAUUUAUAUUUAUUAGUAAAGUAUCACUGAUAUACAAAAAAUUUCAUAAAAGAAACCAUAAACUGAAAAUUUUAUUAAGGGACAUAUAUAUAAUUUUAUUCUUCUAAAAAUCUUUCAAAACUAGUGGAUAAUAAACUCCCAAACAUAGGUUUGCCUGUUUUAUAAAUCGGUACUAGAACCACUCAAAAUCGAACUUCUUGUAAAUGCCUAAACGGUACAUUAAAAAACGCUAAUAAUCGGUACGCCAAAUCUCCCAAGCAGGCCCUUAGGAUUUACAGUAAAAUUAAAAUCUGAAAAUGAGUUCAACUGGCUUCCACUAAGGGUAGUAGAUGGAAGCCCAAGUAAUUGAAAUACUUAUUUCGAUCUCGUAGCUGGCCUUGAAUUCCCAGUUGGAAGAAUCACUGGAUUUUUAAGUAAUAGAAAGUUUGAUGAGCGUGUCGACGCUGGUGCCCCAGUAUGCCUCUCCGCCAUUCUUGAAUACCUUGCUUCUGAGAUGCUUUAUGGGUUUUGUUUGUUCCCAUUUCGUACAUUUUUUAUUUUCCGGAUAUAUUAUAUGGUUCUGUUGAUUUAGGUUUUGGAGCUCGCAGGAAACGGGGCUAGGGACAAGAAGAAGAAUGGGAUUGCACCUAGGCAUAAACAAUUGGCUGUAAAGAUCGAUGAAGAUUUGAGCAAGCUUUUGGGAAAUGUUAUCAUUGCAAACAGUGGGGUUCUGACUAACAUUAAUCAGUGUUUGUCGCCAAAGAUAGCCGAUGGAAAAAAUAAAGAGAAUGGCUUUGCUUCAGAAGAGUUCUACGGUUUUUAAUGUAUUAUUUAUGGCAUUUGGAUGGAUAUUAAGCCCUUACUUGUGACCACUAUUAUUUGAAAACUCUUUUUUCUGCAUUCUCCUCUUCAACCACACAUACGCGCAAUGUAAUUUUUUGCAUUUAAAUCCAAAACUUUACCUACUUUUUAACUACACAUUCUCCUAAAAAACACUGUUCAAAAAACAUGCUUGUUCAUUAGCAGGAUAGCCCAUUCAAAUUUCAGAUGGAUAACUAAGAAGAGUAGCUCAUUCAAAUUUAAGAAGGACAGCUCAUUUGAAUUUCAGGUGGAUAGCUCAUUUAAAUUUAAGGAUAACUCAUUUGAAUUUAGACCUUUGUGAUAUAGCUGGAAAGAUAGUUCUUUUGAAUUUAAACUCACAUGUAUAGGCUACAAAGUAGAAUAGUUGUUGGAUUGAGCUCUAUAUAAAGAAAAUGUGAUUCACAAUUAGACAUAUAAUAAAAAUAAAAAAUCACAGGCCUAUUAUUCUCUAUAUAGUAUCACUGCGUCACUAAAAUGACGAACAUCUGAUCCACAUUGGUCUGCUCAUUCUCCUCCCCUUCCUUAUCCAACCUUCUGCUCAGUACUGUCAAUAACAAUCUUAAUCACUUUCUACCCCAUGCAGAAAGCUCAAGCCCCAUCCUACUUCCAUGUUCAGUCAAUUUUUGGGCACAUUGAUGGCAUAGAAAAACCACCUCCGAUGGAAGUUGAUUCCCCCCAUCCCAUUUCUGAUUCUGUCUUCCAGAUUCCAAACCUUCAAUACGAGGCAGUGGUCAGGAUUCUUUUAUCCUUCCACCCAUAAAUGCCUCACUCACUGAAAAUUUCCUCACUCAGGUCAUGACCUACACUAUCUCUUAAGAAGUAUGGCUUGCUCUCAAAUGCAAUUUCUCCUCAUUUUUCCUAACUCAAAACUGUUCAAAUCCACACUAGCUCGUCAACGCUAGGAAAGACGCUAUGUCCGCCAAUGAAUAUUUCCUUUCUAUCAGCCACAUAGCUAAUGAGCAUUACUAGCCGGACAUUCAAGUUUGAUGAAGUUAUUAGUUAUAGUCCAACCUAUAAAGUAAUAUAGUUGCACAAUGAAAAUACAAUAACCAUCACCAAGAGGAAAACACAAGUUCCAUCGUAUCUUAAUUUGAUCCUCUGAAUGUUCUCAAUUAUAUCCAUCAAUAUCAUUCAUAUCUAGUGUACAAUUGCAACACGCACAAAAGAGAAUGUCCAAUAAAUAUUAUAGUGCAUGAUAUGUACAUCCAAUCAUGAAUAUGAUGAAUCAUUAAAUACAUGGGACCUACCAUUAAUUUAUUCACCAAUUAAAUGGUGUGACAUGUCACCGGUGCUUAGGAGAUCAUUUUUGUGUGUAUGUGUCUAUAUAUAUAUAUGUGUGUGUGUGUGUGUGUAUCAUUCACAUUUAUUUAUCAUUGAUAUUACUUUCCCUCUUUAUAACUAAGUUGACACUUUAUAUUCCAAACAUUCAUUUUCUUUUCUUAACCAAACAAAAGACCUCUUUGUCUCUUAAAAUUCCACGUCAAACAAUCACCAACCAUUAUUUUUUCAACCCAACAAGAUAUAUAUCCCUUUGAAUUAAAAUUUUAAAGACUCAAUUUAGCAUAUUGGUUUGAUCUCACUGCCAUUGUUACAACCUUUCAAGUUUCUUUCUUUAUCUCUUAUCUUCAAAACACAUAGUGCAGGGUAUAUAGGUUGUUAUAAUAUUGUUUUGUUUUAAUCUCAUCAUAAUAAUAUUUUUACAAGUUUGCAAAAAGUAAUUUGAAUUUAAUAAUUCUUUGUCUGUAUUCAUACAAAUACUUUUUAUUUUUAAGUCAAUUUCUGUUUGCCAAACUUUACUUAUAAUUUGUAUUGCAGGUUGAAAUUUAACAUUUUGUUAAUUUCCUCUUUAAAAUUUUGUUUGUGUUAGAUUCUUCAUAAUUAUAUUAAGCCCCUACUGAUUAAAAUCUAGAUUUUAAUUUAAAUCAAAAUCAACAAGUAAUUUUAACGACCUAUGGGUCCCACAACUUUUCAUCGACAUAUUUCAUCUACUUUUAUUAAAAACUACUUAAAAUCUGAUUUAAAUGUCCAUCAAAAAAGGCUAAAACUAUAUGUAAGAAGACUUAAAAUGUAAGUCUCAUAUUUGAACUUGACAUAAAGCCCCCAAAAUAUCAGGGUUGGCCCUGUGCAUAUGGCUUGAAUCUUCAUACUUUUUGCCAUAUAGGCUCAAACAUUAAUAUGGCCAAUAACAAGUGCACUUAAUGAGUCUCUGUGAAGUCCUACAUAGUUUAAACCACAGCUAAGGAUCCAACAGUUUCUUGGUCAUCACCCCCAUGAGACCACACUGGCAGACAAUUAAAAAAAUAAGGCUUGGCCUACUAUACGAAGCUUGUGUGGAUCUGUAGUCCAUGAAGGGUUACUGACGCCGAAUUCCUUAUCCCGGACUAUCUUUAAUGCUCAUUGGUAGUUUCAGUUAGGUAUAUUAAUUCAGAAAAAAAAAAAUAGAACAGUAACUUUGUAAAAGGAUUCUAGUCACUAUCCUUAUGUCCACUAUGAAUGAAAUAACAAUGCAGGUGCUGCUAGAAUGCUAAUGCUAAUGCUAAUGCUAAUGCUUGACAUAAAGAAUAAAUAAGUUACCUAAUAGUAAACCAGAACAUCACAAACAAUAUCAUAGUACAAUAAUGUACUAGAGUUGUAAUUGUCGAUAUUUACCUCAAUUUCUCGUAUCAUGCUAGCAUCUGCAUAAUUUGAAUAUUCACAUCAUAAGUUAAUUAUGACCAUACCACUUCGUGUGAUCGACUUAUUGUUUAUUCAAAGCUUAAAAUAUCUAAAAGGGAUGGGCUUUCAAGGGAUCUCUCGUUUUGACCAUGGGCGGACCCACAUGGGAUCUUGUGGGGGGUCAAGUGAUCCCACAAAAAGUUUUAUUUUUCCAAAAAUUCGGCAGUUGCCCUUUUUACCCCUAAUUGCUCACAUUUACAGGCUAAUGUUUACUGUGUUCUUCCACAAACCAAAAAAACUGAAAAAAAAAGAAGAAAGAAAGAAAAAGAAAAACCUCUUCCAUUCUCGAAUAAAUCAUCAUCCAAUUUCUGAUUUCAAUUAUUCUUCGAUCUAUUCUUCAAUCUGGUAAGAAAUUUUAAUUGCGUGCAAAGUUAUUUAUAUAUGUAUACGUAUUUUAAAUUAGUUAAUUUUUCUACUAUUAUUCAUGUAUAUUUAAUCCUGUAUUUAGUAGUAUGAGUAAAAUCUUACUCCAGUUGAAUGUUCAUUAUAUUAGUUAAUAUUUUGACCAUGAGAUUUUUUUUUAGUUAUAGAUGAACUUUUUACUUUUAAGUAAAUAUAACUUAAAUAAAGUUAUAAUCACAUCAACUUUCUACUUUAAGGAAAAUCUAUGUCUCCUCCACCCCCACUUGUCCAACAAUAAGAAACGAAAGGCUUCACCUAAACAUGUGUAGUAGGGACUUUCACAUAUUUUGUCGAGGCACGGGAACGUUUGCAGGAGUUGAUUAGGCUCUUGUACUCUGUUAAGACUCCCUCUGAGACCAAGUUCAAGGAUUUUAAGAAUUUAAAUAAUCAAGUAAUUCACAAUUGAACAAAAAAUCUUGAUUAUCGAUCAUUUUCAACCAUAAUAUUAUAACACAUGUGAUGCACGUGCAAUUCAUGUGUGGCACAUGGCAAUUUGGCACCUAAACUAGCCAAAACUCCUUCCAAGGCCAAGCUUGAGGACUUGAGGGAUUUAAGAACGAGAUAUUUUGCGAUAAAAAGAAAAGGCAAGGACAUUUGCCCUUUCCACCUAUAUUAUAAUGCGUGCAGUUCAUGUGCAAUUCACUUGUAACGCAUGUGGCACAUUUAAAAUUAUGUAUUUAAUAGUAUGAAUAAAAUUUAAUUUUAGGUGAAUUUUUUGACUUAUGAGGACAUUUUCUACUUAUGGGUGAAUUUCACUUACAAGUAAAAAGUUUUAAUUUAUAAAUAUUUUUUUAUUCAGGAGUAACAUUUUUCUUGUUUUAACCAGUAGCAGAUUUUUUUUUUCCCUUUAAAUUUAGCUUUUACUUAUAAGCUUAUUCAAGAGUAACUUUUUUUCUUGUUUAACUUUAUUAUUUAUAAGCUUAUUAACUUGUGAGUAAACGUACUUUAAUUUGACUAAUUUAUUCAUUAUUGUACAUGAAAUAUUGAAUUUAAAUAUGGACUAAACCAUCUCGUAUGUAGUAUUAUUUUAAUUGUAUUGAAUAAAGUGGGGUAAGCACCUCGAAUUAAAUCAAUGCAGGUAUUAAUGGAACCAAAUGCCUAAUAGGAUUAAGUUGAUCCUUAUUCAACUGGUUUCGAUCUAAUACAUCAAAUAAGAUUCAAAAUAAUUUGUUAUUAUCCACACGGGGAAAAAUUUUUGCCUACACGUAAAAGAAUUAUUCUAAUUAAAUAUUUACAUACAGGUUAUAAAAAGUGUAUCAUAGAUAAAAAGUAACCCAUCAACAAAAAUUCACCUACAAGCAAAAAUUCAGUCAUUCUACUAUCUACAUAAUUGAAAUACAUCAUGGGUGUCACACAAGCAUCAAUAGUGUUUUAUUAAUAAAAUUUGACUAAAGAAUAACUAAUAAUAUGAAUUUAAUUUUAAUAAAAUUUCAAGCACUAAAUAUGUGAUAAUUUGUGCAAAGAUGUUUUUCUCCCAUUGGUUCAUGAGUAUUUUGCUAUAGGAGAGGUAUCUCUUUAUGGUAUCUAUAUAAGGAUUAACCUAAAAAUGUCUACUUAUUUAUACAAUUAACACCAAAACAACAUUUAUCCAAGGUCCAUAUCUUCCUUUUGUCAACAAGGUUAAAAUGACACCUCUACAAGAUAUUUUUAGACCAUGCUAUUAUUACAAAAUUUUCUCACAAAGAAUGAGAAAUAAUUAAUUGAAUAAAAAAUUGUACAUCCAAAAAUAAAUAAUUUCUUUUAUAGCACUCAGUGAUCGAGUUUUUUCGGAAGCAGAAUCUCACGAAAUCUUCGCUCUUUUUCUUCAAUUAUAUACGAAAAUGAUUUGUAACUUUAUUAAGACCAUCAGCCCCACUUUUAUAGUUCGUGCAUUCCACCAUUAAUUGAGAAAUCAAUUGAAGUUAAAAAAAAAGUAAAAAAAAUCAAUGCAUGAGUUAAAAAUUUAAAAAAAUGACAUUUAUAAUUAAAAACAAAACUACCCUAAGUCAAAAUAAAAAAUCAUUAUUGCAUAAAUAACUCAUAAAAUAUAAAUUCAACCAAAAGAAAACAUUCAAUCAUACCAUUAUUUACAUUGCUAAAAGUACAUCAAGUAUGUUGUACAUGCAUCGCACAAGUUUUAUUGAUAAAAUUUGACGAUAUAAGAAACUUCUAAUGCAACUUUAGGCGACAAAAACCACCGAGAAGCUUUAAGACAACCACUGGGGAGGAUAUAAGUGAAUUGCUUGUAAUCAUCAUUAUCUAGAUUUCAAACCGACAAACAUGAUAUUUGGAAACUUUUACGAAUCCCGAGAAAUGUCAAGCAAUGUCUAGUAAACAUGGCAAGACGGUGAAUGCUACAUUCCCAAUACUAGACGGAAUCGAUUGAAACCCAGUUGGAUAAGGAUGAAUUUUAUCCUAAUCGACAUUUUGUGCAUUUAAUACAUGUAUUAAAAUAAUAUUUGAUGCUCAUCUCCUUUUAGUAGUUAUGAUCGAAACAUAUGUAUUUGUGAGAUGGUUUAAACCAUAUAAUAAAUUAACCAUUACUUCGAUAAUAUAGAAAAAAAAUUGGAUGAAGUAAAAUACGCAUAUGAGAAGAGAAUAAGAUUCAUAAAAUUUUGUUAGUAAGAAAAAUAUCCUCGGGGGAAAACGAUUGUUUGUAUGUAAAAAAGUUCUUCUAAUUAAAUAUUUAUAUACAAGUUAUAAAAAUGAUUCAUAGGUAAAAAAAAUUAUAAUAGAUAAAAAGUAACCCAUAUAGAAAAUUUACCUAGAAGCAAAGAUCCAGCUACACAGUCGAAAUACUUCAUCGGUGUCACACAAGCAUCAAUACUAUUUUAUUAAUAGAAUUCGACUAAACAAAUAACUAAUAAUAUGAAUUUAUCUUUAUUGAAUAUCUCAAGCACUAAAUAUCAGAUAAUUUAUGCAAAGUUGUUCUUUUCCCAUUGCUUCAUGAGUAUCUUGCUAUAGGUGAGGUGAAUCUAUAUGGUAUCUAUAUAAGCAUUAGCCUAAAAAUGUCUACUUAUUUUUACAAUUUACAUCAAAACAAAAUUUAUCCAAGGUCUGAAUCUCUGUUUCGUCAACAUGGUUUAAAAUGGUACCUCUCCAAGAUAAUUUUAGACCAUAUUAUCAUUUCAAAUAUUUUUCCAAAAGAAUGAGAAAUAAUUAAUCGAAUAAAAAGUUAUACAUCCAACUAAAUAAUUUCUUCUAUAGACCUCAAUAAUCGAGUUUUUUAAGAAGCAAAAUCUCAUGAAAUCUUCACUUCUUUUUCAAAUACAUCCGAAAAUGAUUUGUAAUUCGUUGUACUUGCAUUCCACUAUUGUGUUUGAAAUCCAUUUAUGUAAAAAAUUCAAUGCAUGGCUUGAAAAUAAAAAAAAACAACUAAUUGAUAAUUAAAAACAAAACCACUCAUAAGUAAAAAAAAAUCUCAUAAGUUUUAUAAAUAACUCAAAAUAUAAAUUCACCUGAAGAAAACAUUCAAUUAUAAUGCUAUGUAGAACACUAAAAAUACAUCAAGUGCAUCGUAGUGCAUUGCACGUGUUUUUUGAUAAAAUAUGACAAUAUAAGUAGCUUCUAAUGCAACUUUAGGGUGGAAACCUGAGAAAAUUAAUCAUGAUGUGAAAUGUUUUGGUUAAAACUAGCAAAGAUACAUUGCAUGUUCUGGAGUUGUAUAGAUCAAUUAGAAGAGAAGAUCCUAAAUUAAUUAGAGAAUGGAAGAAAUACGAAGUAUAUGCAAAAAUGCAUGGGAUGUACUUUCAGCUCAAUUGUCGAAUUUUUGCCCAUGAGUAUAAUCUAGAAAUAUCUUUUGAUUCUCCACAAGUUUGUCAAACUUUUGGGGUCAAUUUUGGUUGUAUAGCGGUCUAUUUUUGCAUUCUGAAUUUGUUUAAAGGGUAUUUUCGUUAUUUGUAGUAUUUUUGUUUAAGCCACAUUUGUUUUGUAGAUUAUUUGGAUUUGUGUUUAGAAUUAGAGUUUUAUUUUGAUUAGGAGUUUAUUUUAUCCCUUUAAAACUGCACGUUCAUUGUAUAAUAAAGGCAUUAAAUUUUUUGAAAAUUAAUCAUAAUGUGAAUUUUUUUCACUUUCUAUCUUGUUCUUAAUUGAACAAAAUUUGUCAAAUAUUUUUAAUAUUUGUGGCAUUCAAACUAUCUGAACUUAUCAAAUAUUCAUACUCUUUGUAGCGUUCAACAAUUGAAAUAAGAUUUGUAAAUUUUGUGAUCAUAAGGACAAGAUAUAGUUUGCGAUUGUCUUGGUUCUUUUUAUGAUCAAGAGAUCAACAGAUUGUCGGUGAUUGUUGGUUAAUUGGUUCAAUAAUCUUGAAUCAAAAUAGAAAAUUUGAUUUAUUGACUUUCUUGGGUUGCGAUCCAAUCUUGUGUGGGUUUCGUAGUUUCAAUUGCUACGUGGGUUUGCAUCAGAAUCUAUAAGGCUACUACCGAGGUGGAUAUAAAUGAAUUGCUUAUUGUCAUCAUUGCGUAGAUUUCAACCCGAUGUGCGUACUAUGUGGAACCUUUAUAUGUCUUGUACACCAGAGAAAUGUCAAACAAUGCCUGCAUGCCUUAAGUAUAAGAAAACAUGGCAAGACGGUGAAGGUUACGUUUGCCAAUAUGUUGAGUACUUAAUGGUGUGGAUUGAAACCUAGUUGGAUAACACAUCGGCGUUUUAUGCAAUCAAAAUAAUAUGUGAUGAUUGUCUCCUUUUCAUAAUUAUGAUUGAAACACAUGUAUCUGUGAGAUGGUUUAAACCACAUAAUAAAUUAACCAUUACUUCAAUAAUACGGAAAAAAAAAUUAAUUGUAGAAUCAAAUUCAUAAUAUUUUGUUAGUAAGAAAAAUAUCCACUUCAGGGAAAAAUGAUUGUUUGCGUGUAAAAAGUUACUUCUAAUUAAAUAUAUAUAUACAAGGUAUAAAAUUGAUUCAUAGGUAAAAAACUUUACCAUAGAUAAAAAGUAACCCAUGAACAAAAAUUUACCUAGAAGCAAAAAUCCAGUUAAUCUACUACAUACAGAAUUGAAAUAUUUCAUGGGUAUCCCAGGAGCAUCAAUAGUGUUUUAUUAAUAAAUUUUGGCUAAAGAAAUAAAUAAUAAUAAAAAUUUAACUUUAUUGAAAAUUUCAAGCACUAAAUACAUGAUAAUUUGUGCAAUGGUGUUCGACUCCCAUUGUUGAUGUGAAUUUCACUAUAGUUGAGGUAUCUUUAUAUGUUGUUUAUAUAAGGAUUAACUACUUAUUUUGACAACUAACACCAAAACAAAAUUUAUCCAAGGUCCGAAUCUCCCUUCUGUCGAUGUAGUUAAAAUGAUACCUCUACAAGAUAGUUUUAGACCAUACUAUUAUUUCAAAUAAUUUUCCCAAAGAAAGAGAAAUAAGUAAUCGAAUAUAAAGUUAUACGGUCAAGACUAAAUAAUUUCUUUUAUAGCACUCUAUAAUCAAGAUUUUCAGGAAGCAGUCUUACUCUUUGCCUUCAAUUACAUGCGGAUAUGAUUUUUAACUUCGUUGUCCGUGCAUUCCACUGUUACGUGAGAAAUCCAUUUCUGUAAUAAAAAAAAAUAGUACAUGUUUUUUAAAUUUAAGAAAAAAAUUGUUUAUAAUUAAAAACAAAACGACUAAUAAGUAAAAUAAAAUAAAAAUCUCAAAAGUUUUCUAAAUAUCCAAAAAAAUAUAAAUUUACCCAUGAGAAAACAUUCAAUCAUACUAUUAUUUGCAAUACUAAAAAUACAUCAAGUACAUCGUACGUGCAUCACACUUGGUUUCUUGAUAAAACAUUACAAUAUAUGUAGCUUUUAAUUCAACUUUGGGCUACGGAAACCUGAGAGAAGCCGCAAGGCUACCACCACAGAGGAUAUAAAUGAAUUGCUUCUUGUCAUCACUGAAUAGAUUUCAACCCGUUGUAUGUGCUAUGUGGAACCUUUUAUGUGUCUUGUAAACUAGAGAAAUGCCAAACAAUAUCUACAGGCCCUAUACGAGUAAACUUGGCAAGACAGUGAUGGUUAAGCUUGUCAAUAUGUUGAGUACUUGAUAGAACGGAUUGAAACCGAGUUGGAUAACAGAUCGGCAUUUGGUGAAAUUAAUGCACGUAUUAAAAUAAUAUGUGAUGCUUAUAUGCUUUUAGUAAUUAUGAUCGAAACAUUUAUAUUUGUGAGAUGGUUUAAACCAUACAAUAAAUUAAAAAUUACUUCGAUAAUAGGGAAAAAAUUAGUUGAAUUAAAGUACGCAUAUGACAGGUGAAUAAGAUUCAUAAUAAUUUGUUAGUAAGAAAAAUAUCCACUUCAGGGAAAAAUGAUUGUUUGUAUGUAAAAAUUUUCUUCUAAUUAAAUAUUUAUAUACAAGUUAUAAAAAUGAUUUAUUGGUAAAUUUUUUUAUCAUGGAUACAAUGUAACCCAUAAACACAAAAAUUUAACUAGAAGCAAAAAUCGAGUUAUUGUACCACCGACAAUUGAAAUACUUCAUGGGUGUCGCACGAUCAUUAAUAGUGUUUUAUUAAUAAAAUUUGACUGGACAAAUAACGAAUAAUAUAAAAUUAACUUUAUUGAUAACAUCAAGCACUAAAUAUGUGAUAAUUCGUGCAAAGCCGUUCAUCUUCCAUUGGAUCAAUAGUACUUUGCUAUCGGUGAGGUAUAUAUGGUAUCUAUUAAUGAUUAGCCUAAAAAUGUCUAAUCAUUUUUACAAUUAACACCAAAACAAAUUUUCUUUUAUAGAUCUCAAUAAUCAAGUGUUUUAGGAAGCAAAAUCUCACGAAUUCUUCACUCUAUCUUUAAUUACAUACGAAAAUGAUUUGUAACAUUAUUGUCCAUGCAUUCCACUGUUGCAUGAGAAGUCCAUUUAUGUAAAAAAAAUUCAAUGCAUGGGUUGAAUUUUUUUUCAAAAAAAUAAAAAUUCAUAAUAAAAAACUAAACUUCUCGCUGGUAAAAAAAUUCUCAUAAGUCUUAUAAAUAACUCAAAAUAUAAAUUUACCCAGAAGAAAACAUUCAAUCAUACUAUUAUUUACAUUACUAAAAGUACAUCAAGUACGUUGUCUGUGCAUCGCAUGUGUUUUUUGGAUAAAACAUGACAACAUAAGUAGCUUCAAGUGCAAAUUUAGGCUGUGAAAUCCUGAGAGAAGCUGUAAGGCUACCACCGUGGAGGAUAUAAGUGAAUUGACUGUUGUCAUCACCGUGUAGAUUUCUACCCGAUGUAUGUGCUAUGUGGAACCUUUUAUGCGUCUUGUACACCAGAGAAAUGUUAAACAAUGUCUACAGGCCCUAAGUACGAGUAAGCAUGGCAAGACGGUGAAAGUUUCAUUUGCCGCUAUGUUGACUACUUGAUGGAAUGGAUUGAAUCCCAGUUGGAUAACUCAUUAGCAUUUGGUGCAAUUAAUGCACAUAUUAAAAUAAAAUGUGAUGCUUGUCCCCUUUUAGUAAUUAAAAUUGAGAUAUAUGUAUUUGUGAGAUGAUUUAAACCACAUAAUAAAUUAACAAUUACUUCAGUAAUAGGGAAAAAAUUAGUUGAAUUAAAGUACGAAUAUGACAAGUGAAUAAGAUUCAUAAUAUUUUGUUAUUAAGAAAAAAUCCACAUCUGGGAAAAAUGAUUGUUUGUAUGUUGCAAAUUUCUUCUAAUUUAAUAUUUAUAUGCAAGUUAUAAAAAUGAUCCAUUGGUAAAGAAAAUUUAUCAUAGAUAAAAAGUAACACAUAAACAAAAAUUUACCUAGAAGCAAAAAAAUCCAGUUAAUCUACCACCCACAGAAUUGAAAUAUUUCAUGGGUGUUCCACGAGCAUCAAUAGUGUCUCAUUAAUAAAUUUUGGCUAAACAAAUAACUAAUGAUAUAAACUUAACUUUAUUGAAAAUUUCAAGCACUAAAUACAUGAUAAUUUGUGCAAAGGUGUUCGUCUCCCAACGAUUGAUGUGUAUUUCACUAUAAUUGAGGUAUCUCUAUAUGUUAUCUAUAUAAGGAUUAACCUAAAAUGACUACUUAUUUUUAUAAUUAAUAGCAAAAAAAAAUUUAUCCAAGGUCUGAAUCUCCCUUUUGUCCACAUGGUUAAAAUGAUACCUCUACAAGAUAGUUUAGGACCAUAGUAUUAUUUCAAAUAUUUUUCCCUAGGAAUGAGAAAUAAAUAAUCGAAUAAAAGGUUAGACAUUCGAAACUAAAUAAUUUCUUCUAUAGCACUCAAUAAUCGAGUUUUUUCAAGAAGCAAAGUCUCGCGAAAUCUUUGCUCUUCACCUUCAAUUACAUACAAAAAUGAUUUGUAACUUCAUUUUCAGUGCAUUCCACUACUACAUGAGAAAUCCAUUUAUGUAAAAAAAAAAAUAAAAAAAAAUACAUGGAUUAAAAAAAAAAAGAAACUAUUGAUAAAUAAAAACAAAAUGACUCAUAUUUAAUAAAAAAAAUAAAACUAAAAUUCAGAAGUUUUAUAAGCAAAAAACAUAAAUUCACCCAUGAGAAAACAUUCAAUCAAAGAAUUACUUACAAUACUAAAAAUACAUCAAGUACAUUGUGCGUGCAUUGCACUUGGUUUUUUCAUAAAACUUGACAAUAUAAGUAGCUUCUGAUGCAACUUUAGGCUGUGGAAACCUGAGAGAGGCUGUAAAGCUACCACCAAGGAGGAUAUGAAUGAAUUGUUUCUUGGCAUCACUGUGCAGAUUUCAACCUGAUGUAUGUUCUAUGUGGAACCUUUUACGUCUUGUACACUAGAAAAAUGUCAAACAAUAUCUACAGGCCCUAUGAACGAGUAAACAUGGCAAGGCGGUGAAGGUUACGUUCACUAAUAUGUUGAGUGCUUGAUGGGAUGGAUUGAAACCUAGUUGGAUAAAAGAUCGGCAUUUGGUGCAAUUAAUACAUUUAUUAAAAUAAUAUCUGAUGCUUAUAUCCUUUUAGUAAUUAUGACUGAAACAUAUAUAUUUGUGAUUUGGUUUAAACCAUCUAAUAAAUUAACUUUACUUUGAUAAUAAGGAAAAAUUAGUUGAAUUAAAGUACUCAUAUGUCAGGUGAAUAAGAUUCAUAACAAAUUUGCUAGUAAGAAAAAUAUCUACAUCAGGGAAAAAUGAUUGUUUGUAUGCAAAAAAAAAUUCUAAUUAAAUGUCACUACAAUAUAAAAAAAGUGUAAAAUUUUGGCACUGUUUGUUAUGGGCACAUGUCAGAAUUACCUAUCAUCAACCAUUAUGAUGUUGCUCGGAGAAUUUUAAAAUUGCCAUUGUUAGGUCCAAUAUUGUAAUUGGCAAUUCUGUGAACAAAAAUGAGUAAAUUGAUCGCUUGUAAAAGUCAAGGGCUUAUUUGCAAUUUUGGAUAGAUGAGGUAAAUUAGUGUUUGAGUCAUUAAAGUAGUCCAAAAUGUCCACGAAGAUCACAUAUGACCAUCGGAAUGCAAUUAGAAGUUUAAAGGAUAUCAAAGAGUUGUACAAGUUAUAUUCCAAAUUCUCAGUUGUGACUUGCAAUACAUUUUUCACAUUGAAAAAAUUGGAAUUUAGUCAAGGCUAUUAUAGAAGAAUUGUAACCUUUGAGUUAGCUUUCUGACAUAAGUUGAAUCACCUCAAUCGGACAUUGAGAGAAAUAGUUAUGGUGAAAACAUUGGUGAUUGCUCAACUGUCGCUCGAUUUUCGUUGGCUUUUCACUCGAGCGAAAAAAUAGAAUGGCUCUCACUUGAUUCUCGCUAGAUCCUUGCUCAAGUGACAUUCUUAAGUGUUUUACUUGGCCCAUGCCACCAAAACACCUUCAAAUAUAAAUACCCAUGCCCUAGCACGAAUUUUUGGGUGAUUGUUCAUUGUGUCUCUGUUAGAAAACAUAUUUUUAUAAUCUUUUUGAAGAUCCAAGAGCAUGUCCAAGCAUUAAUUCAUUUUAUUUAUUCUUGAGAUCCAACAACAACAUAUUAGGGAAAACAUCAAAGGUCUGAUAAUCCAAAACACCUGUCUUCCUUAAUCUUUUGAGGAAGGGACACUUUCAUUGGGAAUUGAGAGAUGUAGUUUGACGCUCAGUUUCAAGCACAAGAACAGGAGAUUCUUGGUGGUCCACUUUGGAGAGACAUUCAGUAUAGACCAAAAGGCUGUAGGAGAUAACAGAUCGAGUUGCAGGAGGAAGACUUGAAGGUCUAGUAGGAGGCUAGAGAAAUCUACGACUGUAGGAGGCCUUAGGAGGUAGAUCGGGAAUUCUAGUGGUAGUGGUGUCUGUGGCAGUAGAUCGUAAGGCUGUGACAGUGGGUCUUAAUAGGUACAAGGAUAGGCUUGUAAUUGUAUUCUCGUAAUUGUCUAUAGUGGAGGUAAUUGGCUUCGUCCUGAAGUUCCAUGUUGGGGUUUCUCAAUCAUCAUAUUUUGUGUUAUUUAUUGCUUUCUACAAUAUUAUAACUGCGGCAUUCAAACAUAGGAUAAUUGAAUAUUUUGUUUAACCACCUAGACAUCUAAUUAAAGUGACUUGUUGCUUUAGUUAGUUUAUUCCGGACGUAAGGUCGAAUAAUUUAUACUCUUGAAUGUAAACUCGGUAAAUCCUAAAAAUUGUAGUGAUAUUAGACCGUUCUAGAUUCUUUCAAGUGAUAUCAAAGCCAGAGUGCAUGACCUUACAUUAUCUAGAUGAGUACUUCGUAGAGUAUACCACCCCAUUUUGAUGGGAAUAAUUAUGCUUAUUGGAAAGUAAGAAUGAGGGCAUUUUUGAAAACUAUGGAUGAGAGGAUUUGAUUGAAUGUUGUGAAUGGAUGGUUUACCCUUAAGUCCAAAGUAGAUGGUGUUGUCACUUCCACCACCAUAGAGAAUUGGUCUAAGACUGAAUUGGAUAGAUGUAAUUAGAAUAGUAAAGCCUUACAUGCCCUAUUUAUGGCUAUUUCCCUCGAAGAAUUUAGAAAAGUGUCCAUGUGUGAGAUUGUUAAAGAAGUAUGGAUAUUCUAGAAACUACACAUGAGGGAACACAUUCAGUUAAGAAUUCAAAACUGCAGGUGCUAGCUACUAGGUUUGAAGAGAUUAGGAUGAGUGAUGAUAAGAUGUUUGAUGUUUUCAAUACGAGCCUAAACAACAUAAUGAACUCUUCCUUCAACUUAGGUGAGAAGAUCCCCGUGCCUAAGAUAGUUAGAAAGAUUCUUAGAUCCUUACCUGAGCGUUUUAGGCCUAAAGUUAUGGCUGUAGAAGAAAGUAAGGACAUUGACACUAUCAAGGUAGAGGAGCUAGUUGGAUUCCUCCAGACCUAUGAGUUUACCUUAGACAAUCCUGCUAAGAAAAAAUUCCUUGCCUUGAAAUCCGAUAGGAAUAAUCGAAUCGAAUCUUCUUAUUCAGAUUACCUAACGAUGAUAAGAUGACCUACCUAGCUAAGAAAUUCUGAAAAAUGUUUAGGAAGAAGAAGCUGCAAGAGAAACCGACAGGUAGCCCGAGAAAAUCUAGGAGAAAAUCUAAUUCGGUGAGAUGCCAUAACAAUCAAGGUGUAGGUCAUGUGAAGAAGGAGUGUCAUAGUGCUAAGAGAGUCGGUAAAAAGGCUAUGAAUGCUACUCUCACUGAUGACGAGUCUAACUUGGACAAAUAGAGUGAGAAAUCCAUGCACGAGGAGAGUGAAAAAUACUUUGCCCUCAUAACUAGGGCUAAUAAUGGAUCCAAACAGGGGAGUGAAAGAGAAUAGUAAUGAGGAUUCUAGUGACAAGUUGGUGAAUAAGGAAGUUAUCGAUGAGGUCUAUGAGAAGAUGUAUCAGGAAAGCUUGAAAAUUCUCAAUAAAAACAAUGUUUUAAGUAUGACUAUUUAGUAGCUGCAAUCAGAGAAAGCUAAGUUAGAGGCGUAUGUUAAGGAAUCUUCCACUGUCUCAAACUUAAGUCGAUGAAUGAAGCUUUAGAGUCUCAUGUCAAAAAUCUUACUAGUGGGCUUGAGAGGUUCUCUAGGAAAGUUAGUGAGUUGACCACCAUGAAUAAGACUUUGCAAAUCCAGGUUGUGAUCCUUGUGAGCAAUUUAAAUGACUCAAAGUCUCAACUUCUUGCCUUUACUAGUGGUUCGUUAAAGCUAGAUAAUCUUCUAGGAAUAGGUAAGCAGGAUGGAAAUAAGGAAGGUCUAGAAUAUAUGGGUAAACUUGCUUAACCCUAAACCUAAUGUUAAGGGAUCUAUAGGAUAGAGGUCUAUCAGACAGCAUAGGACUCGUCGACUUAGGAAUAAACUUCUGUGUUUACAUAACAUAGGUCCUAGGUUUAUCCCGACAUGCUUUCAUUGUGGGGUGUUAGGUCACAUCCACCUUAGAUGUCAUUAGUUCAGAAUAAAAAUAAGAAGAUGCACUUAAAUGGAAACAAAAAUUAGGUGUCUGUUGGUCAGAUUGGAUUCCUUACUGAACAAGUGAAUCUUUUGACUAAGUUGGUGACACAAUUUUCUGGAAACUAUUAUCCCACUGAUAGGUUUGGGUGAACAGAGUGAUCUGCAAAAUCUAUAAGUGGAUCACAGUGUUCUUAAGAGAAAGAACACUUAUAUACCUAAUUGAUUAGGUAGUUUUUGAUGCAUGCUUAUUCUUAAUUGUCACAUGAUGAUUGCAUGCAUCACUUGUAAGUGUUUACUUUCAUUUGCUGUCUUUUUAGUUCAUGCAUGUGUAUUCUCAUCUGUAUGCAUUGAUGCAUGCAUAUCUAUUUUUAUUUUUUUUGUACUUGAUAUUUUUCUUUUUGAACAAUGUAUUCAUGUUUGAAAAAGAAAAACAAAAAUAUAUAUAUAUAUAUAUAUAAUAAUAAUAAAUUUGAAACAUUGGAAAAGACAAAAAUAAUUUGCUAUGGAAAUUGCUAUAGCAUGAUAUGUAUUUCUUGAACAUGUUGGUUGUAAUCAUGCAUGAGCUGAAAUUGAUAAGCUGUAAAUAAUUUUCAUUACUUGUUUAGGUCUAUUUAGAUUAAUUGGUAUAAGUGUUUUUAUAUACCAUUUGCACUGCACCUACUAGAAAUUUGGGAUUCUACAGCGUGUGUGAGAUUUGAGAUGGUUAUCACAUGUUGAUAGGAUGACUUUGGAAAUGAAUUGACCAAUACUUAGUAGACAUAAACCCGAAAAUUAUUCCCCUAUUGAAAUAAGCUCAUAUCUUAAUUUUUUUUCUUUGUGGCCUAUUUAACUUGAGCAAUUAAGCCUGAGGGGUCUCUUAAAACCUGGUGCCUAUGGUCAGCUAACUUGGAUUAAUCGGCCUAAAGCUCGCUACGGGGUCAUCUUAGUGCCUAAUAUAGAAGAAUCUGCUAUUAAGAUAAAAAAAAACUAAUUAGUUGGAAAAAUGAGAAAAAUGUAAAAAAAAAAUGAAAAAUGUGAUGAGUUGAAAAAUAUGGAAACUUUAAAAAAUAUUAAUGUUCAAAGUAAGGGGUAGAAAAAUAAAAGUAAUAAGUAUAGUUUCUGCUGUACUUUCAUAAUUUGACUUUCAUAAGCAGAGGAAUAUACUUAUUGGCAGUGAUUGACUUGUCCCUUCUCACAAAAUUAAAGUUUGAAGUCCUGCUUGCAUUGGAAUAAUGACAUUUUACACACAUGAGUCACUUGUACUCUCUACUCCAUUCAUACGGUUCUUGAUAUGAUUCUCUUUAGCAUUUGUGACAAAAAGGGAGAGAGAAAUGUAUAUAACUAAAGGAAAAAAAACAUGUAAAAUAACAUACACAUAGGAGAGCGACUGCAUUGGCAUGCACAUGAUUUCACUAAUUGACAUUACUUGCAUUUUGCAUUGCUAUGUUUUAUAGGGGUCGUUGGGGAGAGACAUAGAUACAUUGUGUUAUUGCAUUGAAUUUAUGAGAGUUCGAAGUAAAGGGGAGUAUUACAUUGCAUUCCAUAUCAUAUCUAUUGCUGUUUGAGUUUUGAUGUUUAGUGAUAUUAGUAUUUCGGUUGGUGUUUUGAUUGACAUCAAUAACAUGUCUCAAAGUAGCAUGUUGACGUGUUUGCGUUUAUGUGCUUUAAUUUUUAUUUUCUGUAUCACGUGCUUUUACACUGGCAUGUGAGAUUUUGGAUUUCGGGAAAUAGGUUCAACAAGGAAUGUAAGACUUAAUGAUUUGGAAUAUUGGGUAGUUUAGAUUUUUGACUGAUUGUAAUCCCUUGACUUAAAUUUGUCUAAUUUUGUCACCGAAUGCCAAAGGGGAGAUUGUUAGGUCCAAUAUUGUAAUUGGCAAUGCUGCAAACAAAAUUGACUAAAUUGAUCACUUGUAAAAGUCAAAGGCUUAGUUUUAAUUUUGAAUAGAUGAGGUAAAUUAGCAUUGGAGGCAUUUAAGGAGUCCAAGAAGACCACGUAUGACCAACGGAAUGCAAUUAGAAGUCUAAAGAAUGUCAAAGAGCAGUACAAGUUAUGUUCCAAAUUCUCAGUCGUAACUUCCAAUACAUUUUUCACAUAGAAAAAAUUGGAAUUUAGUCAAGGCUAUUUCGGAGAAUUGUAGCCCUUUGCGUUAGCUUUUUAACGUAAGUUGAAUCACCUCAAUCAGACAUCGAGAGAGAAAGUUAUGGUGAAAACAUUUAUAACUGGUCAGCUGUCACUCGAUUCUCGUUGGCUUUUUGCCUGAGCAAAAAAACAGAAUGGUUCUAGCUCGAUUCUCACUGAAUCCUCGCUCGAGCCACAUACUUAUACUAAAAAAUCGCUAGUUCGCAUUUUUAAGAGUUUUACUCGACCCAUACUACUAAAACACAUUCAAAUAUAAAUACCCAAGCCCUAGCACGAAUUUUUGGGUGGUUGUUCAUUGUGUCUCUCUUAGAAAAUAUAUUCUUAUAAUCUUUUUGAAGAUCCAAGAGCAUGUUUAAGCAUUGAUUCAUUUUAUUUAUUCUUGAGAUUCAACAACCACAUAUUGGGGAAAACAUUAAAGGUCCGAUAGUCCAAAACACAUGUCUUCCUUAAUCUUUUGAUGAAGGGACUCUCUCAUUGGAGGAUUGAGAGAUGUGGAUUAAAACGCAGUUACAAGUACAAGAACAGGCGGUUUAGCAGGAUGUCUAGUAGGAGGCUAGAAGAAUCUACGGUAAUAGGAGGCUACAGGAGGUAGAUAGGGAAUUCUAGUGCUAGAGAUGUCUAUAACAAUAGAUCAUAAGGCUAUGGCAGCAGGUCUUAAUGGGUACAAGGAUAAGCUUGUAAUUGUAUUAUCUAAAUUGUCUAUAGUGGAUGUAACUCGCUUGGUCCUGAAGUUUUACCCACGUUGGGAUUUCUUCGUCCUCAUAUCUUGUGUUAUUUAUUGGCUUCUACAAUAUUAUAACGGCGGCAUUCAAACAUAGGAUAAUUGAAUUGUUUUUUUUAACCACCUAGACAUCCAAUUAAAGUGACUUGUUGCUUUAACUAGUUUAUUCUGUAUGUAAGGUCGAAUAAUUUGUAAUCUGAAAUGUAAACUCGGUAAAUCCUAAAAAUUGUAGUGGUAUUAGACUAUUCUAGAUUCUUUCAACCCUAAUUGCUCUCGUUCGAGGCAACAAACCCUUUCCUCUCUCGCUCUCUUCCUCAGGAAAUGACCGCGGUCACAAUUUCUUGGCAACGUAAAUCAGCUGAUGUUGCCCACAUUGUCACAUCUGCCACCAUGGAAGGAGUCACUUCAGACAAUCAAUUGCUUGACUUAGAUUUUAUAGUGAUUCUACCAGCACUUCUUUGCGUGCUGAUCAGCACUUUGGGCCUUGUCUUAAAUUUUGUAGUAAUAUUAUGGGCGCAUCCGCUCUCCAUCAUCGUCUGUCUCUCCCCCACUGGCUCUGCCCUACGUGCCACUGGCACCUGUACGCUCUGAGCCCUUUCUUCUCUCUCUCUCUCAGUAUAUUUUUACAGAUUGAUUGGUGAUUUACAGAUUUAGUAUAAAUUGUGAUUUAUGAAUUUUGAUGAAUGAAUAAUGAAAUUAAUGAUGAAUUUUCAAGGAGUUGUUGGGAAUUCUAUGAAUUUGAAUGGGAAUGGAUUUUAUGAAACCAUGGGUUUGUGUUGGUUUUGACUCCCAAGCCUUUGGCUUUUAGUGGAGUGAUGGGUGAGGAGAGGUUCAUUGAUGAGAAAUGGAGGAAACAGCAGAUGUUGGAAUUGGAGAUUUUUUCAAAUAGGUUGGAGUUGGUGCAUGAUCAGAUUAAAAGCAAGCACGGUUGGCGGAGAGCUCAAGUCCACGGUUUUUUCCAGUUUUUUUUUUUUUUUUGUUCAUUUCAUUAUGCUUGUUUUCUUGGUCAUUAUGUAUGCUUCCACCGAGAAAGUGGCCAAGUGUAUGAAGCCUUCUAUUGCUGGAUUCCUUAUACAGAAGGUUAGCGGAUACUUUAGACUUGGUUAAGUUAUGUAUUCUGUGUCUGGUCGAAAGAUUGCUCAUUUGAAUAUUUUGUCAUGCAUGAGUCAACAUUUUGAAAUGUAAAGUACCAUUUUUUUCAUAGACUUUGGAAUUAUAAGACUUGCAGGUGUUAUUAAAAUAUUUAACUCGAUGGUUGGCACUUAUUGCGUCACUGCAUAUUUCUUUAUAGCAUUAUGGUUGUUGGACAUUUAUUGAUGCUAACAUUUUAUUUUUCUUGAAUUGCAUGCAAAAAAUAAAAAUAAAAAUAAUAAAUAAAUAAAUAAAUCCAUUUACUACAAUUGUUUGUGGCUCAAAGGGAUCCGUCAAAAUUGGCAUGAUUGUGUCAUUGUUAGAGAAGGUUGACAUACUCAUUCUUGAUGGAGGAAUGAUCUUUACUUUCUAUAAAGCCUAAUGCCAUGCCUUGGGAUCUUCAUUUGUGGAAAAUGACACGCUUAGUCUUUGAAACAUCAUUUAUGGAGAAGGCCAAGUCUAAGGGGAUCCCUCUUUCUACCUACUGAUGUUGUUGCUGACAAAUUUGUUGCUAAUAAAGAUAGCAAGGUUGGUUUUCCACUCAAUGGCAUUUUGAUAAUGUUUUUGAGCUCUAGAUGAGCCUUGUAACUGAUUUGGUAUGUGCUUUUUGUAGCAUAAAUUUGACUUGCUAAUAUUCUGAAAUAACUCACUACCUAGCUAAUGCAAUAAAUUGCUUACUUUGGUACUACAUAAUUAUAUGGAGAAAGAUGGGAAUGAUUGCAGCUUCCAACAAGAUGAUUCUGUAGAGUAGCUACUGAAGUGUUACUCAACAUUUUCACAAGUUGUUCCAACACCUGCAAUUCCUAAUGGCUGGAUGGGUUUAGUAUUGGACUUCAAACUAUCAAGUCAUUUGAAAAAAGCUCUAGAUACUAUGAAAUUAGUCAUUUGGAUGGACCCAUGGGUACACUACCCAAAAAAAAAAAAAAAGAGGCUUUUUGCAACGUUCAAAAAACAUUGCUAAUGACUUUUCGCAACGUUCAGCCACAUGUUGCUAAUCUGUAUGUUAUCGUAGAAUAGAAUGAUAUGACAACAUUUUUUAAAUGUUGCAAAAAAUCCUUUCGCUAUGUUUUUCAUUUUUCGAGCGUUGCAAAAAUCCUUUCACAACAUUUUUUGAAUGUUGCAAAAAACCCCAACAUUUUUUGAAUGUUGCAAAAAAAAAAUAAUAAUAAUAAUAAAUAAAUAAAUAAAUAAAAAAUAAUUUGCAACAUUUUUUGGGCAUUGCAAAAAACCAUUUCGCAAUAUUUUUUGACCAUUGCCGUAGUUUUUUUAUUUUUUAUAACAAUUUAUGUAAAUUGACUAUCAAAAUUGAAAAUGACUCCUUCUGAACAAAUUUUGGAAUUGCAUAAAAAUUGAUAAUUUCAUUACAAAUUUUUGAAUCCAUACACUUGAACAUUGGAAUGUGAUACAACACCACCUAAAUACAAAGGAGCUUCAAAGUGAAACAAAACUAGGAAUAAAAUUUUGAUACAGCUUAGGCAUGAAGAGCUUAUUGCCACACUUGCAAUACCAGCUUCCGGAUAAUAAUGUAACGGCAUACUCAAUCAUAUUGUCCUUCAUGCACUCUUCGAUUUGCUAGCCACACAAUUCACGACGGCCAACAAAGCUGCAAGAGAAGCAUUGAAUCAAUAUAAAAAAAAAAAAAAAAGUUCUUGUGUUUGAAUUUCAAUCAAAUCAUAUAUUAUUUACGUUUUCUGCAAUUUUAUGGUCAAAUGUCAGAUCUAAUCUCUUUUCAUAUUUAUUGGCGAGAUGUAAGAGAGUGCUCGAUUUACAUUAGCGGACACGUAAAGCAAGGUUGGCAUAGAACCACUGAGUUGGUGAUUUACAACAUCAUUAAGAACUCACUACAUCAAUUUUCCGAUCCUAAACCACAUCUAUGAGUUAGAAAAGGUAUUAGUAAGAUAUCAUUGAUACAUUAAAAUCAUAUAGAGCAAACAAAGACUACAUUACCUGGAAAGUGGCUCCAUUGUGGACAAUGUCCCGGACAGAAAGCGGCUUCAUAUCAGUAACUAGCAGCUUAAGCAUCUCCUUUUGAUUUUGAGAACACAUGAGUUCUGAUUCCACCUACUAGUGCUUUUUCUUGGUAAGCUUUCUCUGCAGCAGUUACUACUCAUUUGAUGUCAAUUCUUCCUUUCUUUUUUAUGUGAGAACCCUAACAGGAAUAAGAACUCAAACUAAUACACUUGCUGAACCAAACAUGUUCUCUCCAUCCAUCAAAUACACAUAAUGAAAAAGAAAACGCUAAGGAACCAUGGAAAUCAGCAAGACGAUAACUUAGUGAAAAUACAUAAUCCAACAACUUAAGGGUCACUGAAAUUAUAUUUAACAAUUCUUGUAAAAUCUGCUAUUGAAUCAGCAAGAUAAGCUAUUUAAAGAAGUUCAAUUCUUAUUUUAGUAUCACCCCCUCAAAAUUCAGACACGAAAUCAACCAAUUUUGUAAAACAAAAUAUAUCUCAAAAAGUAAAAAAAAAUUGUUACGCCAAGGCUGCACGGACUAGCUUCAGCAUAUCCAAGCUCUGCCAAUUGCUAAUAAGGAUCUAAAAAAACGCUAAAAAAUUGGAAAUGACAAGAUCAACUAGAAAAUUGAACAGCUUUAAAGCAACAACUAGAAUAUAGGGCAAAUCAGGCAGCCAUAAUCAGGAUACUGCUUUAAAGCAACAUCAAAAACAUAAUUAGGAUACUGCCAUAUAAAUCACAAAUCAUGCCCAUCUAAUUACUAAAGCAACAACCAGAAUAUAGGGCAAAUCAACAGAACAAAAAAUAAGUAAGGAAAAAUGAGUGUCAGGUUCGGGGAAUCGAUUCAGGGCUAAGGGCUUCACCUUCUUCUUCAGUUCUUCUACUGCAGCCGAAGAAUCACCGACAUCAGGAGGUUAGGAACGCAUCUACUUUUGCUGCUACCGUAACCGUUGACGCUCAAAUCGAACAAACAGGACCAGAUGGAGAGCAGGUGAGGCGAGUAGCAAUGGAAAAUGAGAAGUCUGGCUCUGGAAGGAGGAGGUGGUGACAGCGGAGCUGAAAUUGGAAGGAGUAGGCAGCGGUGGGGGUGGAGAAAGUAGUGAUGGAAUGGGAUUGAAUUUGAAUGGAUGGAAUGGAUAGAAGUUGUUCACAUGAAUGGGAAUUAUGGUAUUGGGCUAAGCAACGGGCUUCACUUUUUGGCUGGGCCUUGGCAUUUGUAUUGUUUAAAAAAAAAAAAGUUGGGCCUUUUGCAUCAUUUAUCAAACGUUGCCAAAGAUAAAUAUUUUGCUACAUUUGAUAAACGUACUAAAAGAUUUAUCUUUCGCAACGUUUGAUAAAUGCUGCUAAAGGUUUCUAUUUUUUCAGUGUUUGAUAAACAUUGCAAAAAAAGACCUUUUUGCAACGUUUGUCUUUUGCAACAUUUGAUAAACAUUACAAAAAAUAAAAAAAUUGCAAUGCUAAAUAAGCGUUGUAAAAAAGCAACAUUAGCAACAGUCAAUUAAAAAAAUGUUGCUAAAUCUCAAUUAUUAACACUAGUGGCAACAUUCACUUAUUAUAAUGUUGCAAUAAAUCCUUUUAGCAACAUUUAAUUAAUGAAUGUUGGCUUUUGCAUGUUGCAAAAAGGCAUUUUUAUCAUAGUGCUAUUUUUGAAUUUGACAAGCUUUCCACAGGAACACAAGUAUAAUAAAUAAUAAGGUAGCUCAUAACUGUAGAUAAAUUCUAUUUUUUGUCAUGUUUUACCUGGAUUUUUGAAAUCAAGUGCAUGAAUUGUUUAUUCUUUUCCGUGCUAUAGCUAAGAAAAUUGGCAGAGCUUAGUGACAAGGGAGUGAUAUCAAUCAUUGGAGACAGUGAUUUUGUUUCUACCAUUGACAAGUUUGGGUUGGCGGAUAAGAUGAGCCAUAUCUCUACUGGAGAUGAUACGAGCUUGGAACUUCUUGAUAGCAAACCCUUACCUGGGGUUCUUGCCCUUAAUGAUGCUUAAGUAGUGCUUUUCUUUGUCAUGACUGGUUUUCAGCCAGACUAGCUGAAUAAGCUAGACCUAUGGGAUGAUGCUGUACAUGCAAGGAAGAUAAGCCAUGAACAUGGUUCACUUAUGGUAAAAAUGAAAGAGGUUAAUGCAUUUGAGCAAGAACUACUUUAGCAUAUUGAUAUGAUAACACUUGCACAUGAAGAGAAUGAUGCAGAAUUGGAAUCAGUGAGUCCUCAACUAUUCUCUUUCUAGGCAUGCAAGCUUCUUUUCUGUUUAUAGAGUUUCAUAAUGCUUUUAUUUUUCUCAGGAAACUACUCAUUUAUAUUAUUUCGUUAUUCUUUCCAAACUUCAACCGGUUUCAAUAAUGCCUUAACAUUUUAUUUUUUUUUACAUAAAAUUGGGUCAUAAAUCUUGAUUUCCUCUAUCCAAGUCUCUUGGAAAACUUAGUUGGAUCAUUGUGAUGUAUUUGAUCCUAAAUUACUGCUGAGUUAAAUGACUUUAGUUUGUUACUUUGAAAAAUGUGAUUUGCUUGUGUGUGUGUACAGAAAUGAUUUUUUAAACAUGGCACAUUAUUAAUUGGUAAAUAAGUUAAUGGUAGGUCCCAUGAAUUUAAUGGUUCAUCAAUUAAUUGGUGUGCCAUGUUAUCGGUGCUUAGGAUAUCAUUAACAAUAGAUUUAUUCAUAUAAUAAUUUAACUACAAGAAAAUAGAAAUACAAAAGUUGGUCUUUGGAGAGUCACAUGGAAUGCUUUUCUUUAAUAUUUUAUGUAAUCUAUAUUCAAAAUUCAUUUUGGAGGUGUUCAAAUUUGGGGAUGAUGUAAAUAUUGAAAAGAUGAUUCUUUCCUCAUGAGUGGCAUGCUAGAUUAAAUUAUUAUUCUUCUUAUUAAACGGAAUCUCUAAAGGCUUCAUUUACACAAGGAGAAAAAAAUAUCAAUGCAAAAGAGCUUGAAGCUUUGGAAGUCGGGGAGCAUGACUUGUUCUUGCUUCAUAGAGGUAAAUUUUAUUAAUGGGCAUCAUUUAGGUGCAUUUAAAUAUCAAUAGGUAUUUGCUACUGAAUUUUGUUUUUUUAAAAAUGUGUAAUUCUUUUACUAUUUCUUGGUGGACUCGAUAACUUUGUUUUAGUAGUAUUAUUAUCGAUAUAUAAUUGCACUUGUUGAAUCAAUUUGGUGAAAUCGAUCUUUUUUUUUUUUUUUUUUUAUACUAAUUAUAGGUUCACGAGCUUCAAAAGUCAUGCAAAUGUAUAAGAAGUGUGCUGAACUUUGAGGCUUUAUGAUUACCAUUGUGGAUGAAAUGCCUGGCGAGAUAGUAGGAAUCAAGAUUCAUGCUUUUAUCACCUUUUAUGUUUAUAAUGUUUAAUGGAGUCUGUGUGCAAUAUUGUUUCCUGGAUAGCAACUUUUAGUCAAACAUAAAAAUUUGAAAAUAUGGCAAUCGUAAAGACUACUAAUCAAAGAAAUUUGAUGGCUCUUGGAAUUAUGGACUGAAAAAGUCCAGUAAUAGAUUUUACAAUUAUUUUACCAGUGGAAAUAUAAAUAAUUUUUUUUCCUUUUGUUUAAAUUUGUAAAAUGGAUAUCUAAUAUCUUAAUGUACAAUUUUCUCAUAAUUAAUGUGAAGUUGAUUUUAAGUUUCUUCUCUAUGUAAUAACCCUCGUGAGCGAAAAUUUUCGAAACUCUUUAAGUGGAGAUUACAAAUCUUGUCAAUUACUAAAUAAAUAUCAAUAAUAUAAAUUUAUGCAUGUUCUUCUUGACCCAUCUGGAUCUUAUAUACAUCAAUUGUAUUUAUUUAAAAUAAUGUAAGAUUAAUGAAUCUACGAAAAUAUAACUUACUUUACCAGAUGGAAUUGAAGAGUUCUGUAAAUUGGUUUUUAAGUUCAAUUGUGUUGAAAUAUCAAAUUUGAAGUCGGAUUAUGUUGGAUCUCUGAUUAUGAAUUAAAAUUUAAGCCAAUGAAUUAAAAAAUAAAAUUAAGGACAACUUGCAAAAAUAUAUCUAAAAUUAGGGAUUUUUGAAAAAUAAUAUGAAAGUAUUUUGGAAGUAAAAAAAAAAAUGUGUAAAAUUAAGUGUCACUUUGAAAAAAAAAAAAUAUUGGUGGCACGAUGUCACCUUUUAUGUUAAGUAUCACUUUUAUAUUAAAAAAUAAUAAUAUACAAUACCAUUUUUAUUAAAAAGUAAUGUCUCUUAUUCAAAAAGUGACAUAAAUUUGGCGCAAUGGGACAUUUUUAAGUUUAUUGUCACUUUUUUUUUUAUUAGAAAAGUGAUGUUUAUUUUUUUUUAAAAAAAAGUGACUAAAAAAAUGGGAUAGGCUAAAAAACUGACAUAAAUUCAAAAAAGAUGACAAAAACUAAAAAAGUAACAUAAAUUUAAAAAAGUGAAAAAAAAUGAUAGAAAUAAAUAAAUACGUAACAUAACCAUCGUCCCUCCUCUUUCUCCGUGCAAUGUCAAGCAUCUUUAAGUCACUCCACCGACAAAAUACCAAUCAAAACGUCAAGCAUCUUUAACUCAAUUCAUCGCCACCGUCAUCUAGCAACUCAACCAACCAAUUGACCUCUACGUAAUGAAGAUCACACAAGAGAACAAGUUGAGUAUUUUUAUCUUUUAUUUAUUUAUUUAUUUUUUUUCUAUCUCCAUUGCUGAAAGUCUCACUGAUUUUGCUUUGUCAACAAAUUAAUGAAUUGUUGUUGCCUUGUUAACAAUUUAGUAGAUUAUUUUUAGAUUGUUGUUGUCAAAUAGGGGCUUAAAUAAUAACUUCCAUUCUAUCAUUUGUUUUGUUGAAUGAGUUUUUUAAUUGCUUUAGUUUCUUUGUGUUCUGUUGCCAUUAAAAUUGGUGCAAAUUGCUCCAAAAUUUCAUUUUGCUGGUGGCAUUCUAACCUCGAGCCCUCUGUUAUUCAAUCCUCGAUCUGUGUAGAUAUAUUUAAUUAUCAUGUUUUAUUUGGAGGGGGUUUUGUAUCUUUAAUUUACAUUAUCGGGUUUUGUGUAAAUUGGUUACAGAAAAUGGGAAGAAAAUGAAUUGCCAAGCUUCAAAGAGUUCAGCUGCGAGGAAUUGAAAUCUGCUACAAAUGGGUUUUCUUUUGAAAACAUUGUUCCAAAGCAUGGACAGAAGGCUCCCAACGUAGUUUACAAGGGAUUUCUUGAAAAUUAUCACUGGAAUUUCUUUUAUGUUUAUAAAUGAAUUUUUCUUAAAUUUACACGUUCUUAUUUUUAACAUUAACCAACACUUUAACCUCACUAGUUUAUAGACAAGUUAUUAAAAUGAUUCCAAAGCAAAAAUUUACCUAGAAGCAAAAAUCCAGUUAUUCUACCACCUACAUAAUCGAAAUACUUAAUGCAUGGGUGUCGCACGAGCAUCAAUAGUGUUUUAUUAAUAAAAUUUUAAUGAACAAUUAACUAAUAAUAUAAAUCUAACUUUAUUGAAAACUCAAGCACUAAAUAUGAGAUUAUUCGUGCCAAGGUGCUCGUCUCCCAUUGCUUCAUGAAUAUUUUGCUAUAGGUGAGGUAUAUAUGGCAUCUACAUAAGGAUUAACCUAAGAAUGUCUACUCAAUUUUACAAUUAACACCAAAACAAAAUUAUUCAAAGUCUGAAUCUCUAUUUUGUCAACAUGGUUAAAAUGAUACCUCUAAAAGAUAGUUUUAGAUCAUAUUAUUAUUUCAGAUAUUUUUUUGAAAGUAUAAGAAAUAGUCAAUUGAACAUUAAAAUUGAAAUAUAUGUAUUUGUGAGAUGGUUUAAACUGUAUAGUAAAUAAACUAUUACUUCAGUAAUAGGGAAAAAAAUUAGUUAAAUUAACGUAUGCAUAUGACAAAGAAUAAUCUCCAAAAUAAUUUGUUAAUAUCGACACAGGGGAAAAAAUUGUUGCCUGCACGUAAAAAAUUUUUUCUAAUUAAAUAUUUACGUACAAGUUAUAAGGAUGAUUCCUAGGUAAAAAAAGUUUAUCACAGAUAAAAAGUAACCCAAACAAAAGUCUACCUAGAAGCGAAAUCCAGUUAUUCUACUACCUACAUAAUUGAAAUCCUUCAUGGGUGUCACAGGAGCAUCAUUGUGUUUUAUUAAUAAAAUUUGACUAAAAAAUAAUUAAUAAUACGAAUUUAACUUUAUUAAAAAUUUCAAGCACUAAAUAUGUUAUAAUUUGUGCAAAGGUGAUCGUCUCCUAUUGUUUCAUGAGCAUUUAGCUAUAGGGGAGGUAUCUCUAUAUGGUAUCUAUAUAAAGAUUAACCUAAAAAUGUCUACUUAUUUAUACAAUGAACACCAAAACAACAUUUAUCCAAGUUCUGAAUCUCCCUUUUGUCAACAUGGUUAAAAUGACACCUCUACAAGAUAUUUUUGCACGAUAUUAUUCUUUCAAAUAUUUUUCCCCAAAGAAUGAGAAAUAAUUAAUUGAAUAAAAAGUUAUACAUUGAAAACUAAAUAAUUUCUUUUAUAGCACUCAAUAAUCGAGUUUUUAGGAAGUAGAGUCUCACAAAAUCUUCGUUCUUUGUCUUCAAUUAUAUAUGAAAAUGAUUUGUAACUCUAUUACGACCACCACUCCCACUUUUAUUGUUCAUGCAUUCCAUCAUUAAGUGAUAUAUCCAUUGAAGUAAAAAAAAUCAACUCAGGAGUCAAAAAAAAAAAAAAUUGUUUUAUAAUUAAAAAUAAAAGUAUGCAUAAGAAAAAAAAUCACUAGUUGUAUAAAUAACUCAUAAAAUAUAAAUUCAACCAAAAGAAAACAUUCAAUCAUACCAUUUUUUACAAUGCUAAAAAUACAUCAAGUACAUUAUACGUGCAUCGCACGUGUUUUAUUGAUAAAACUUGACAAUAUAAGUAACUUCUAAUGCAACUUUAGGCUGUGGAAACCAGAGAAAAGCUUUAAGGCAACCAUCGGGGAGAAUAUAAAUGAAUUUCUUGUUGUCAUCACUGCUUAGAUUUCAACCCAACAAACAUGAUAUUUGGAAUCUUUAAUGAAUCUUGUACACCAAAGAAAUGUCAAACAAUGUCUACAGGCCCUAAGAAUGAGUAAACAAUGCAAGACAGUGAAGGUUAUGUUUGCCAAUAUGUUAAGUACUUGAUGGAAUGGAUUGAAAUCUAGUUGGAUAACAUAUCGGCAUUUCGUGCAAUUAAUACGCGUAUUAAAAUAACAUGUGAUGCAUAUCUAGUUUUAGUAAUUAUUACCGAAACAUAUGUAUUUUUAAGAUGGUUUAAACCAUGUAAUAAAUUAACCAUUACUUCUGUAAUUGAGGUAUCUCUAUAUGUUAUCUAUAUAAGGAUUAACCUAAAAUGUCUACUUAUUUUCACAAUUAACAUCAAAACAAAAUUUAUCCAGGGUCCGAAUCUCCAUUUUGUCAACAUGGUUAAAAUGAUACCUCUACAAGAUAGUUUUACACCAUACUAGUAUUUCACAUAUUUUUCCCAAAGAAUGUGAAAUAAGUAAUCGAAUAAAAAGUUAUACACUCGAAACUAAAAUAAGUACUUUUAUAGCACUCUAUAAUCGAGUUUUUCAGGACGCAGAAUCUCACGAAGUCUACGCUCUUUGCCUUCAAUUGCAUACGAAAAUGAUUUGUAACUUCGUUGUUCGUGCAUUUCACUAUUACAUGAGAAAUCUAUAUUUGUUAAAAAAAAAAUCAAUACAUGGGUUAAAAAUUAAAAGAAAACUUAUUUAUAGUUAAAAGCAAAACGACUCAUAAGUAACAAAAGAAAUCUCAUAUGUUUUAUAAAUAGCUCAAAAAAUAUAAAUUCACCCAUGAGAAAACAUUAAAUUAUACUAUUAUUUACAAUACUAAAAAUAGAUCAAGUACAUCGUACAUGCAUCGCAUGUGGUUUUUUGUUAAAACAUGACAAUAUAAGUAGCUUUUAAUGCAACUUUAGGCUGUGGAAUCCUGAGAGAAGCUGUAAGGUGACCACCUGGGAGGAUAUAACUGAAUUUCUUCUUGUCAUCACUGUGUAGAUUUCAUCCUGAUGUAUGUGCUAUGUAGAACCUUUUAUGUGUCUUGUACACCAGAGAAAUGUCAAAAAAUAUCUGCAGGCCUAAGUACGGUGAAAGUUACGUUCGCCAUUAUGUCGAGUACUUGAUGGAUGGAUUGAAACCUAGUUGGAUAACAUACCGGCAUUUCAUGCAAUUAAUACGCGUAUUAAAAUAAUAUGUGAUGCUUAUCUCCUUUAAGUAAUUGUGAUCGAAACAUAUGUAUUUGUGAGGUCGUUUAAACCAUAUAAUAAAUUAACUAUUGCUUUGAUACUGAGGAAAAAUUCAAUAAUAGGGAAAACAAUUCUCAUAAGUUGUAUAGAUAACUCAAAAUAUAAAUUCACCUAGAAGAAAAAGUUCAAUCAUAAUAUUAUUUACAAUACUAAAUAUACACCAAGUACAUCGUACAUGCAUGGCACUUGUAUUUUUGAUGAAACCUGACAAUAUAAGUAGCUUCUAAUGCAACUUUAGGCUGUGGAAACCUGAGAGAAGCUGUACGGCUACCACCAGAGAGGAUAUAAAUGAAUUGCUUAUUGUCAUAACUGUGUAGAUUUCAACCUGAUCUAUGUGCUGUGUGGAACCUUUAUGUGCUUUGUCUACCAGAGAAAUGUCAAACAAUGUCUCGUAGGUAAUAAAAUUUACCAUAGAUAAAAACUGACCGGUAAAUAAGAAUGUAUCUAGAAGCAAAAAUCCAGUUAUUCUACUACCCACAUAAUCACAAGACUUCAUGUUUGUCACACAAGAUUCAAUAAUGUUUUAUUCCAAUAAUUUGAAAAAAUAAAUAACUAGUGAUAUGAAUUUAACUUUAUUUCAAUUUUAAGCACUAAAUACGAGAUAAUUUGUGCAAAUGUGUUUAUCUCUUAUUGGUUCAAGAGUAUUAGGUUAUAGACAAGGAAUAUGAUUUAUGGUAUCUAUAAAAAUAUUAACUUAAUAGUUUCUAUUUUAUUUUAACAAUUAACACCAAAAUAAAAUAUAUCCAAGGUCCGAAUCUCCCUUUUCCUUAAGUAGACAUUAUUAAGUUAAUCCUUAUAUAGAUAUCAUUAACGAGAUACCUCGUCCAUAGCAAAAUACUCAUGAACCAAUAGGAGACAAACACCUUUGCAGAAAUUAUCUCAUAUUUAUUGCUUGAAAUUGUAAAUAAAGUUAAAUUUAUAUUAUUAGUUAUUUAUUUUGUCAAAGUUUAGGAAUAAACAGUUUUGAUGCUUGUGUGAUGCACAUGAAGUAUUUCGAUUAUGUAGGUAGUAGAAUAACUUGAUUUUUGCUUCUAGGUAAAUUUUUAUUUAUGGGUAACUUUUUAUCUAUCGAAACUUUUGUUAAAUAUAAGUCAUUUUAAUAACUUAUAUGUAAAUAUUUAGUUAGAAUUUUUUUUUUUACAUAUAAGCAAUCAUUUUACCCUGUCUGAAUAUUUUUCAACACUAACAAUUAUUAUGAAUCUUAUUCACUUGUCAUUAUGCGUAUUUUAAUUCAGUUAAUUUUUUCCCAACUAUUGAAGUGAUAGUUAAUUUAUUAAAUGGUUUAAACCAUCCCAUAAAUACAAACAUUUUAAUCACAAUUACUAGAGGGAGAUAAGAAUCAUAUAUUAUUUUAAUUUGUGUAUUAAUUGUUCCAAAAGCCGAUUAGGUUAAAAUCGAUCCUAGUCCAAAUGGGUUUCAAUCUAUUCCGUCAAGCACUCAACAUAUAUGGGAACGUAACCUUCACCAUCUUGCCAUAUUUACAUGUUCUUAGGGCCUGUAGACAUGUUUGACAUUUCUUUGGUGUGCAAGACUCAUAAAAGGUUCCACAUAGAACAUUCAUUGGGUUUUAAAUCUGCACUGUAUUGCAACCAGCAAUUAAUUUAUAUCAACCCCAGUGGUAGCCUUAAAGCCUAUCUCAAGUUUUCACAGCCUAAAGUUGCAAUAGAAGUUCUUAUACUGUCAAGUUUUAUCAUGCGAUGAAUGUACAACAUAAUUGACAUAUUUUUAGUAUUGUAAAUAAUAGUAUGGUUGAAUGUUUUCUUCGGGUGAAUCUGUACUUUAUGAGUUAUUUAAAAAACUUGUGAGAAUUUGUUUUAUUUUUAUUUUUGCUUAUAAGUAGUUUUGUUUUAUUUCAUAUUUUGUAACCCAUGAGUUGAUUUUUUUGACUUAAAAAGGGUGCUCUCGUGUAAUAGUGGAAUGCACGUACAAUGAAGGAGGGAUGAUGGUCAUAAUAUAGUUACAAAUUAUUUUUGUAUAUAGGCGAAUGCAAAGAGUGAAGAUUUUGUGAGAUUCUACUUCCUAAAAAAACUCAACUAUUGAGAGCAAUAGAAGAAAUUAUUUAGUUUCGGAUGUAUUACUUUGUGUACAACUAAUUACUUCUCAUUUUUGGGAAAAAUAUUUGAAAUAAUAAUAUGGUCUAAAACUAUAUACAAUUAACUCCAAGAUAAAAUUUAUCCAAGGUUUUGUCAACAUGGUUAAAAUGAUACCUCUGCAAGAUAGUUUUACAAAAUAUUGUUAAAUAUUUUCAUAUAAGUUACUAAAAUGACUUGCAAGUGAAAAAAUUUAUCAUAGAUAAAAAGUAACCCAUAAACAUUGAUAAAAAUGCGCGUUGCAAAAAAAUUUAACAACAAUGGACCGCAAACAUUGUAAAAGGCGUGUAUCAGCAACAUUCAUUAAAAAAACAUUGUUAAAACUCAAUUUACUCAACAAAUAACAACAUAUACUUGCUGAAUGUUGCGAUUGACUCCUUUUAGCAGAAUGCAAUUAAUGAAUGUUGCUUUUUACAUGUUGCAAAAGGCUUAGUCUACUUAUGAAGCAUGUGAUGUAUUUUAAAUCAUGUAUUUAGUCAUAUGAGUGUUUUUACUUGGCGACCGGUGAAAGUGAUGUAUAGCGACGUAAACGUUGUAAAGCUGUGUAUGGUAAUGUUUAAGAGGUUGUUUAAGUUAUUUAUUGUCACCUGAUAAGUGUAUUUUGUAUAUUUUUUUAGGUCAUCAAAUUAGAGCAUUUAUCUAUUAUUUUACUGAAAUAUGGCUUAAUUCUAUAUAAGUUAUGUUUGUUAGGUAAAGAUAGAUGAACGUAGUAGAAUUGUAUGAAAGGAACAAAAAAGGAUGAAAAUGAAAGAUAUUCAAAGCUUGGAGACUAAGGUACAAAUAUUUAAAAAGUUGAUUUAGAACUCAUAUCGAAGAUUGAAGAAUGCUAGGAGUCAAGUGGAUGUGAACAGAACACAACACAACAGGAUGAGAAGGGAUGAAGAAGCACCAAAAUGUACUUACAGGAAGUCGGGCGACCAUUCACAUGUAUGGGCCUACAUGCCUUGCAUGCGCAAGGAUCCCAGAUUUACCACUUGAGGCUGAAAAGCCUUUGCUAUGCACGGGCAUGGUUCUCUCCGAAGACAAAUGGGCCAUUUUCCUUUUUUAUUUCUAAGUCUUUAUGGAAUGAUUUCUUAGCCUCUUUUUAACCUAUCAGAGUUCAUCAAGUACGUAUCUUUGAAUCAUAGAAUGUUGAGAAGAAGUCUAGCAAUAGAUUACAAGGAAAUUAACACAAAAGAUUGAAGAUUAAAAGAUUGAAAUCAAGACUCAAAAUCAAGAAGUUGAUUUUUCUACUAUUCUUUAGUUUGGGUAAUGUCUUUUCAAUUAUUAUUAUUAUUAUUAUUAUUAUUAUUAUUAUUAUUAUUAUCAUUUGCAAUCAAACAUGUCAGGAUAAUUUCUAUACUGUAUUGGAUGAAGGUGAGAUCAUUGGUUAUUUAUUUCUAAUUUAAAAAUAAUGUAGUUUAGUGAGCUAUUGUGUCAAGAUUGAAUCUGCAUGAUUAUUGCAUUAUUUGAUUGCUAGAUUACAAAUUAGAUAAAAUUGUUGGUUAUCGUAGCGUUCAGAAGUUCACAAUAGGUCUAGAGCACUGCAUAAUUGACAUACCGCUAUAAACAUUAAGAAUAGCAUUUGUGGUGUGUAUAGUCUUCUUUGAUAGUUGUGUGCUUGAAUGCAUAUCUUUGCAAAUGAAUUUGAACUAGGACUACAAUUAGGCUGUGCUUAAAAUAUAUUUGAUUUAUCUUGAAAAAGAAUGAAAACCAACAAAGGAUCAUCAAUUGUCACGAGCACUUGAACAAGACUAAACUACAUAAGUCUAGAAUUGGAAAUACAUGCCAAUAGUAGAUUUUGACAUCCAAUACAUUCAUUCCAUAAUAUGAUAAAAAUCACUGCACUUUACAUAGUUCAUAGCAUAACUUAAGAUAAAAACAAGUCAUGCAUUUCUUUUGUGUCAUUUAAUUGAAUUUGCUAGAGAACUAGUACACUUAAUUAUAUUUUAUUCAUCAAUGAUAACUCAAUUUACUAUAUUAUUACUUAUCAACGAUUUCAUACACUUGCGGUUUCAUCCGAGUAUCAUUCGUAAUUGAGGCUUAUCAACGAUUUGUUUAUUUUUAUUUUGUAAGCAAUGUUUGAAUUUUUGAUGCUAUGUUAGCUUUGAAAAAUGUUAAAAUUACUGCUAUUUGGACGUAAAAUGUUGCCAUUAUAUGAUUACAAAAGAUUUCUCGUAUAAUCAAGAGUUAAUGAUAUCACUAUUUCACUAUGUAAAAAGUAAUUUUAGAAGGUAGACUAAUGUUAUAAAAAGAAUAUGUAUACUUUUAAGUUACAGACAAAAUUUCAGUUUGCCAAAAAGGUCAUACAAGUUACCUGCUUAACUGCAAAUACGGAUGGAAUCGUGAAUGAGAAAAACCUGCUUGAAAUAGGGAAUGGUUGUUGGUGAAACAUCAUAUAAGCAUUAAUGAGAACAAGAUAGAGACUAAAUAAAGGGGACCAACAGUACAUUAUACCCAAAUUUAUAAUUUCAUGACUUUAAUUAUCUGUUUUAUGAUUUUAUUAUUUAGAAUAUUGGAUUUGUGAAGUGUAUACUUAAGAUUGUAUAUGGAUUAUUUGUCAAUUGGAAUGUGAGACAUGUGAUGAUCGACCAGAAAAGUACAUAUGAUUAUAUACUUCUUCUAGUUCAUGAAGGGCCUUGGCCAUGUUUUAUACUACAACAGGGUCUUGACCGUGGAUAUAUAGUUCACUAAGUGGUUUUAGCCAUGUUCUAAAAUUGAUUAUGAGAGGUCUUUGACACCUAUUUCUGUUCACUGGGGGGCUAGAGGCUCGUGUCGAGAGUGUUUAGUUCAAGAGGUGGUCUACGCGCGUAUGACCAGAUUACAUAUCUAAAUUAGAGGGUACAUUUUUUGUUGAUUCUCCAUUACAUCAACUGAUGAUUAUAGCAUGACUAUGAGAUCAUAUUUUACAACGUUAUGAGUAUGUUUCACAUCUUGAUUAUUAUUAUUAUUAUUAUUAUUAUUAUUAUUAUUAUUAUUAUUAUUAUAUGUUAUUUUAAUGUAAACUAUCAAAUGUUGUCUACUCGAUUUUCGAUAAAAAUAUAUAAAUAGGAAUGUAUAAUUAUUUCAAACUUCUCCACUCACUUAGUUAUCAACUCAUAUAUUUUCCCACGAUUUUUCUUAAGGUAGCAAUUGGUUCUUUCAUAGUUCGAGGAGCCUGAUAAUUUCAAAGUGAUAAUCACACGACAUAUUGAGUGAUAUGAUUCAUGUUGAUAAAGCAACAAAUAUUUAUUUUAGGUCCAUUGCAUAUUGUUUUCAUAAGCAUCUUAUUUGGCGCAUAUUUAGUAGCAACUCAUAGCAAUGCUAGUGGAUCUGGCAUUUAGUCAACAUCUUUCAUCAGUACACGUCACUCUUUGGGUCCACUAGGAUGAUUUGAGAUGGUUGUGAUGCACGUGCAAUUUGCAUGUGCAACACAUGUGAAUUUGGCAUUUGAACUCAAUCAAUACUCCUUUCGAGGCGAAGGCCAAGGACUUGAAGGAAGAAUGAGAUAAUUUGCAAUCGGAAGAAAAAGCAAGAGUAUUUGCCCUUUCCACCUAAAAUAUAACACUUGCAGUUCAUGUGUAAUUCACUUGUAAGCUUCUGACAUAUUUAAAAUUAGAUAUUUAUUAGUAAGAGUAAAUUUUACUUCUAGCCGAAUUUUUGGACUUACAAGGAAAAUUUUACAGCUGAUAAUUUAAUUUACAAGUAAAUGUUUUAAUUUAUAAAUAUAUUUUUCUUGUUUCUGACUUUUCACUGUAAGUGAUCCUAUUACCAUUACUUUGUUUUUUCUUAAAGUUGGAAUUUUACUUAUAUCUAAAUUUAUUAUUUAUAAACUUAUUAACGGGUGAGUAUACGUACUCUAAGUCAACUAAUUUAUUCCAUAAUGUUCAUGAAAUACUGAAUCUAUUAUAUGGUUUAAAUUAUCUAAUGUAAAGUAUUAUAACCACCCUCUAUUAAGUUAAUGUGGGUAUUAGUUACAUUGCACCAAUGUUGAAUACAAUUAAAUUGAUCCUUGUUCAGUUUCGAUCUAGUACUAACAUCAAUGGGUUUCAGGAUUCUUACUCAGUCUGCCCAUUUAUACUCAUAUUUAGGGUUUGUAGACAUGGUCAGACAUUUCUCUGGCUUAUAGAACUCAGCAAGGGUUCUUUAUAGUAGAUUUAUAUGGUUGACGAAAUCUACACAUUGUUGACAGCAAAACGCAAGCCAUUCAGUUAUAUCCUUCGCAGGUGGUAGCCUUACAACUUCUCUCAGGUUUUCACUGCCUAGAGUUGCAUCANNNNNNNNNNNNNNNNNNNNNNNNNNNNNNNNNNNNNNNNNNNNNNNNNNNNNNNNNNNNNNNNNNNNNNNNNNNNNNNNNNNNNNNNNNNNNNNNNNNNNNNNNNNNNNNNNNNNNNNNNNNNNNNNNNNNNNNNNNNNNNNNNNNNNNNNNNNNNNNNNNNNNNNNNNNNNNNNNNNNNNNNNNNNNNNNNNNNNNNNNNNNNNNNNNNNNNNNNNNNNNNNNNNNNNNNNNNNNNNNNNNNNNNNNNNNNNNNNNNNNNNNNNNNNNNNNNNNNNNNNNNNNNNNNNNNNNNNNNNNNNNNNNNNNNNNNNNNNNNNNNNNNNNNNNNNNNNNNNNNNNNNNNNNNNNNNNNNNNNNNNNNNNNNNNNNNNNNNNNNNNNNNNNNNNNNNNNNNNNNNNNNNNNNNNNNNNNNNNNNNNNNNNNNNNNNNNNNNNNNNNNNNNNNNNNNNNNNNNNNNNNNNNNNNNNNNNNNNNNNNNNNNNNNNNNNNNNNNNNNNNNNNNNNNNNNNNNNNNNNNNNNNNNNNNNNNNNNNNNNNNNNNNNNNNNNNNNNNNNNNNNNNNNNNNNNNNNNNNNNNNNNNNNNNNNNNNNNNNNNNNNNNNNNNNNNNNNNNNNNNNNNNNNNNNNNNNNNNNNNNNNNNNNNNNNNNNNNNNNNNNNNNNNNNNNNNNNNNNNNNNNNNNNNNNNNNNNNNNNNNNNNNNNNNNNNNNNNNNNNNNNNNNNNNNNNNNNNNNNNNNNNNNNNNNNNNNNNNNNNNNNNNNNNNNNNNNNNNNNNNNNNNNNNNNNNNNNNNNNNNNNNNNNNNNNNNNNNNNNNNNNNNNNNNNNNNNNNNNNNNNNNNNNNNNNNNNNNNNNNNNNNNNNNNNNNNNNNNNNNNNNNNNNNNNNNNNNNNNNNNNNNNNNNNNNNNNNNNNNNNNNNNNNNNNNNNNNNNNNNNNNNNNNNNNNNNNNNNNNNNNNNNNNNNNNNNNNNNNNNNNNNNNNNNAUAUCAUGUUAUUUUGGGUGUUAAUUACAGCAAACAUUGAGUAGGAUUAAAUUGAUCCUUAUGCAACUGGUCUUAAACAUUCCGUCAAGUACUCAACAUAUUUGGGAAUGGAUACUUCGCCAUCUUCCCAUGUGUAGUUUUUUUUUUUUUUGGGUUAGUAGAUAUUGUUUGACAGUUCUAUGGUUUACAGACUCAGUGACGGAUCCAUAGAGCAGGUUCAUAUGGCUGAAAUCUACAUAGUGCUGAUGGCAAGCCAUUUAUUUAUAUACUUCCCAGGUGGUAACCUUGCAGCUUCUCUCAAGUUUCCACUGCCUAAAGUUGCAUUUUAAGCUACUUAUAUUGUCUACUUUUUUUAACAAAACAUGUUCUUGCAUGUACAACCCAAAUGAUUUAUUUUAUAUUUUAUAACUAAUAGUAUGAUUGAAUUUUUCAUUCUAGGCGAAUUUAUAUUUGUUUAGUUUCUUUACAUCAUAUAAGAAACUUUUUACUUAUAAUUAAUUUUCUUUUUUUUUUAUAAAUAAAUUUUUACUGACGAAUGACUUUUACCCUAUAGGUAAAUUUUUAAACAAUGAAUGAAUUUUUUUCAUAAAAGUAAAUUUUUACGCAUAUGUAAAUUUAUUUUUAUAUAAACUUGUUUAUAUAUGGAUAUAGGUGUUUUAAAAUGAUUGAUAAAACGAUAUUCUAAAAUUUUGAUUACUUUAACCAAUCAUAAGGAGUUCAAAUGAGCACACUAAAUAGUUCCUAAUUUAGAUAAAGUGCAAUGACUGAUUCCUGAGCCUUAUUAACAUGAAUAUAGUGUUUUUCGUAUAUAAUGACAGGAUUUUAAGAAGUCAAUUCAAUUAACAGAAGCAAUUAUAGAAGCCUCCAAAAGUAGUUAUAUUGUGAUGCAAGUUUGCUAUAAUUACCAUCCAUUGCUUAUUUUUAGCUACUUAAUAACAGAUUAAGAAAAUGGAUCUGGUAUGUUUGAUUUUAGCUACUUAAAUUAUUAAGUGUGGUUUUUAUUUAUUGUGUUUGAAUGGGAACUCGCGAAAUCCCCUUCAAAAUAAACGCUGAUAAUAACAUGUUGAAUUUAAGACUCAAAGAAAAAUAUUAUUUUAUUUAAAAAACAGAUUUUACACAUGUUUGGACACACUUACACUUAUCUACUUUAAUUAUAUGGAAACACUCCUCACCAAAACACUACGUUGCCUCACCAUCUCACUUUUCUCACUUUUUCUUCGUGCUUUCACGCAUACCUACAUUCAAACAAGGCACGCACGCAUGCACGCGCGCGCGCACACACACACAUACACACUUCUAUGGUGGUGGCAAACUCAUCUACAAUGGAGGUGGAGGAUAAAUCAUACAACAAUAUUCUAGAUCCUUCUUCUCUUUGUUGAAGUUGCAUUCUCCAUAUUGUUCCCUACCUACUUCAAGAAUUGAAUAAAUAUUGUGUCUAUAAUUUUUCAAGUCACUUGAAUGGAUGAAUGGAGAAAGACCUAGCACAUUCUAGAAAUGUCGGUGCUACAUCUUCAAUUCUCCCCUUCAGCAAUGACAUUUAAUUUUUACUCUUUUCUUUCUUUUCUUUUUUAUUUACGACUCCCAGUUGUACUCAAAACUCUUCAAAAUUUGAAGUACUGAGUCCUUUUGUUGACACGUUUGUAACUUGUUUUUUAGCAUUAACGUGUUUCAUGUCCAUCUCCCCUUUAAACACUUUUUCUUUGAUGAAAUGAUAGUGCACUUCAAGAUGUGGUGUCUUCUGCUAUUAACGGCGUGCAUUGCAUACUGUGAAAAAUGCAUUAACAGCAUGCAUUGCAUACCGUAAAAGGAUGCGAGAAUUUAUGGCAUGGCUUUAUAAGGCAUGCACCUGUACGCCGUUAAAAGUAAAUUUUGUUGUAGUGUUUCCAUGAAGUAGCUUGCUAUCCUAGCUGCAUAUGCAUUGUCUGGUCAUGUUAGCGUCAAAUAGAUUAAGCUUCCUACUAGUUGUCGAUAUAUGGUUGCAUCCCCCAAGUUCUUGCCUUCAUCUAUACAUAGCUGGGAGUUAAUAUCAAUUGGUGUUGAUAUUGGUUUGCAAUUGAUCAUUCCAAACUUCUGUAAGAGAUCUCUACAAUAUUUGUGUUGACAUAAGAAUAAUCCUUUUUUUUUUUCUUUCCAUCUCGAGUCCAGUAAAUGAUUUAGCUCUCCAAACUCUUUCAUUUGGAAUCUUACUGAUAGAUUUUUUCUGGUUUGUUGGAUUUCGUUUUCAUUGUCUCUAUUGAUGAUAAGAUCAUCCACAUAUCAUAGCACUAUUGUUAGUAUACCAUUAUGUGCUUUGACGAAUAGACUCGAGUUUGCUGGUGCUACUGAAUAUCCAAUUUGAACUAAGAAUUCAGCUAUCUUAUAGUACAAUGCCCGUGGUGCCAGCUUCAACCCAUAAAGAGCUUUCUUUAGCUUGCAAACAUAUCCUGGCUUUCUUUUAUUCUCGAAGACCUUUAGCUGCUCCAUUUAUACAUGUCAGUCAACUUCUCCAUGGAGAAAUGCAUUUUUCAUGUUCAUCUGCCACAAUUUUCAAGAUUUAUUUAGUGCAAAAGCUAUAGGUACUCAUGUUUAGUAAUCUUUGCCCACUGGACUAAACGUCUCAUCAUAGACCAAACCAUAUUGCUAGGAAAAUCCAUGAGCUACUAGUUGUGCUUUGUAACUUUCAAUUGAUUCAUUUGAAUAUUUCUUUACACUGAAUACCCACUUGCAGGAUAUAGGCUUUACUCCAUUAGGCCUUGGCAUCAAAUCCCAAGUCUCAUUUUUCCUUAGAGCCAUGAACUCUUCUUCCAUUGCUUUUCUCCACUCCUUGUGUUGGAUAGCUUCUUCAAAGGUCUCUAGCUCUUUGGCACUAUCAUCUUCUUCUACUACUAUGUUAGCAUACUUAGGAUUUGAUUUUCUAUAUCUAGUUGAUUUUCUCAAUUGUGGAUGUGGGUUUGUCAGCACCUCAACCUCUUCUUGUCGACUUGGCCAUAUAUCCUCUGGUGUUGGCUGAUUUAUAUCUGCCAAGGACUUUGUGUUGCGCCAGUAGACUCUUUCUCUCAUCACUUAAUUAUUGUGCAUCCUUUGUUUCCUUGGGACUUUAUUGUGCUUUUGUGAUCUUCACUUGUAAUUUGUUAUCUAUUUCCUUUGAAUCUAGUAACUCCACUCUCUCCAAUGUCCACCAUGAAGAUAUUUAGUCAAACACCACAUUCCUUGAUAUGUAAUAAUGAUCACUUAUAGGGUCGCAGCAUCUCCAUCCUUUUCUUUGAUUGUCACAUCCCAUAAAUAUACACCGGAUUGCCUUUUUAUCAAACUUACUCUUUAAGUGAGCAGGGACAAACACAUAACAGAUGCAUCCAAAAACACGAAAGUAACUUACUAUUGGCUUCAUUUUCUAUGGUUUCUCAUAUGGUGAAGUGAACCCCAGCUUUGGUUGUGGUAGCCUAUUGAUCACAUGUACUAAUAUCCUCAUACACUCAACCAAAAACCUUUAUGGCACAUUCUUUACGUGUAGUAUAGUUUGACACGUUUUUACAAGGUGUCGAUUAUUUCUUUCUACUAAACCAUUUUUGCUAUGGCUUGUCCAGACAUAUUAAAUGAUGAUGUGUCUUAUGUUUUCUUAAGUACGAGAAGAAUUAUAUUGAUGUAUACUCUCCUCCAUUAUCCAUGCGUAGGCAUCAAAUUUUAUUUUCAACAUCUCAUUCUAUUUUAUCUAUAGUCCUUAAACUUUAUAAAUGUCUCAGAUAUUUCUUUCAUUAAAAAACCCAAAUGUACCUUGAGAAGUCGUAAAUAAAUGUCACCAUGUAGCGCAUCCCUUAAUUUGAUGGUUGUUUGAUAGGUCCAACACACAUCACAGUGUAUUAUCUCUAGUGGUUGCUUUGCUUUAUAACUUGAUUCCUAAUACGACAAUUGAUGUGCUUUACUGUAUUCCUGAUACAACAGCUGAUGUUCUAUUUAGGGAGACCUUUGAGCACGACUUCUUCAUCAUAUCUUCAUCUUGUGAUAACUCGCAUGUCCUAGCCUUGCAUGCCAUAAAUAUACUGUCUUGUUAUUUUGAGCCUUAUCUACGUAUGUAGAUUUUGUUGACAUUACAUAGAUGGACUCUAACUUAUGUCCCUCUAGUAUUCUUGUACCUAAAAUUGUGAUAUUUCGAUACACCUUGACAUCUUUUCGGUCUAAAUAGAACAUAAUUAUCUGAUGAUGUUAACUUGACCACUAAUAGGAGAUUUUUCUUCAUAUUUGGCACGUGAUAGAUGUCUUGUAAUUAUACCUAACUAGGGCUAAAAUGAGGCGUUAUAACUGUCUUACCAAUGUAAGCUACUAGCAAUCUUGAAUUGUUGGCAGUUACUACCAUUUGGCUUCAUCUGUACUCCAUUGUAUAUAGUAGCAUCUUUUUAUCACCUAUCACAUGGUUCGGACAUCAAGAGUCGACAAUCCAUUCAUUUUCGUAGUUUAUUUGUCAAGGGAGCAUCACCACUAGUGUUGAUUCUUCCUCGAAGCAUUGGCUACAUUUCUCUCCAUGAGUUUGUUCUACAAGCAAUGCUACGGCAUCCCAGUCUUCCUCACUAUUAUUUUUUUCUCAUUCAAUGGAUGCUACCAUAUUACCUUUUGCUGGUCUUUUCUUGAAUCGAUAAUCUUUGGAAUAAUAGCCUUGUUUUCCACAAACAAAACAUAAGCUAAUAUUUCAUUGAAAUCUCUUGGAUGACUUGCCUCUUUUAUCGCGAUUUUGUUGAGCUCCCCCUGUUUGAUAGCUUCCUUCACAUUUAUUUUCUUUACUACUUUGUUGAUGAAAUCCACUGUUUUUUAUAGCUAAAUAGUGCUACUUUAUCUUCUUCCUUUAUCGAGACCCCUAACAUUUGCUUGGUCGAUGCUUCUUGAUCGACAAGCAAAUUCUCGAGAUUGAACAAUGAAGGUUGCUCUUUCCGACCUUAUAUUGCAGCAAUAAAACCUCUAUAUUCAGGUCUUAAUCCAUGUAUAAUUAUUCUUCACACUCUGGACUCCCAAAAUCUUACUCAAAGAAUCUAAUCCGGAAAUUUCGCAACAAAAAGAUUUAACUUUGUUGAAAUAUUGACUUACCAUUAAUUCACCUUGAGCAAUCGAGAGAAGCUCAUUCACCAAAAGCUAUAGUCUCCAAAAGCUAUACUCUCAGUUCAUUUUUCUUCGAGAAUGGUGAAACCAAAUUCUCCCAUGCUUCUUUUGGUGUAGUCUUGUCUUUUAUCUGCUCCAACUAUUCUUUCUCAAUUGUUAUCUUUAUAAUAAAUAAAGUCUUACCCGCUUUGAUUCUCCACUUUUUCCAGAGCUAUAGCUUCCUCUACUGGUGUCACAUCACUUCCACCAACAACCUCCCACAAGUCUUGCCCACAUAGGACUCAAUGCAAGUAUGUCAUGUGGUGUAGUUCUGGUUAUUGAGCUUCUUUAUUCCGCCUAUCACUUGUAGGUUGCUCAUCGUGAUUUGAUUUACCCCCUCAUAAUUAAGCAAACUUUACGAAAGUUUGAUAUUCUCCUUUUGUGCAUGAACUUAAAAAGCUCAAAGAAAAAUAUUAACCGCCUUGCUCUCAUACCAAAUUGUUGAAUUUAAGACUCAAAGAAAAAUAUUAUUUUACUUUUGAAAUAGAUUUUACACCUUUUUGGACAAAUUUGCACUUAUCUACUUUAAUUAUAUGGAAACGCUCCUCACCAAAACCCUACACUACCUCACUGUCUCCCUCCUUCCCUCUUUUUCUUCGUGCUCUCACGCAUACAUACAUUCACACAACACACACAUAGAUAACAACUUCUACAGUUGUGAAAAAUUUUUAGUUGCGGCAUUGAAUUCUACUUUCGACGUAAAAUUCAAAUCUAAAACCCUCGUUUUCAAUUCUCAUGUCAUGUCAUCGAUCUCCACCACACCUCUAACCAUCAAUCAAAUUUUAACACCCCACCCACUAAAUUCCUAUAUUAACCCUCUACAUACCUCAUCAUCUCAAUGAAAUCUCGGCCCUUUCUACAAAUUCCACCUCUAAUUUCCAUUUCUUUUUGGGGUUUGCAGUAAAAUUUGAAUAUGAAAAUGUGUUCAACUGGCCUCCAACAAGGGCGGUAGAGGGAAGCCAAGUCAUGGAAUUCUGUAUCUCGAUCUUGUAGAUGGCUUCAAAUUCCCAUUAGAAUAAUUGUUCGAUAUCUGCGGGCUGGAAAGUAUGAAGAGCUUUUUGUCUCCUGUGCAUUGGUCUACCUCUUCAUCGAUUUUGAAUGCCUUGCUGAUGAGGUGGGUUAGGGGUUUUGUUUGCUCUCAUUUCAUAUAUUUUUUUAGUUUGGGGAUUUUAUUACAUGGUUCUGUUGGUUUGUGUUUUGGAGCUUGCAGGAAAUGAGGCCAGGGACAAGAAUAAUGAAAUCGUACCAAGGCAUAUUUGUUACCUGUUUAUCUAUUUGGGUGAUUGCAUUUUUUUGGCUACCUUGCAUUGUUUGCAGCACCAAAUUACAUGAAAAGAAUAUUCUAUUAUGUGGCAAAAGAUUUUUUUGGAUUAAAUUGGAUAUAUAUGCCAAUUAGAUGUUACUAUCGUUUUGGGACUUCAUUACUGGUUUAUAUUGUUACUCGUAUAUCCCUGUAGUUGCAUUCUUUCUCUUCUAUCGAUUACAAACCAGAAUCUUUACAUUCAUAUUUUUAUCGAUGCUUGUUCUCAAUGGUGAAUAAUUCAUUCUGAAGAUGGUUUCUCCUUUAGAACUUCUGGUGCAGUAAUCCCCUUCUUUUAAAUACAUUACGUUACUUGCAGAUGAAUCUCAUGAGUUAUAUUGUAGCUGAGUAGGACAAAUUCUCUAGUUUUUUCUUCAAUUGACAAUCUUUUAAUUAUAUAAAUGUGCUUGGUUUAGGAGGGAGUUUUAAAACAGUUUAGGCAUCCAUUUAACAUCCGUCGCAUGUGAAUUGCACGUGAAUCGCACAUGUUAUAUUGUAGCUGGAUAGGAUAAAUACUCGACAAUGUGAUUUCUUUUUAGAUAGUUUAUGAAAUAAAGAUAUGUAAAGAUUCUAGAAGUCACGUUUGUUAUUACUACUUGACUUGAUGAAAAUUCCAUCUCAUAAGUCAAGCAAUGGAUAGUGAUUAUAGCAGGCUUGCGUCACAAUAUAAUCCCUUUUGGAAGCUUUUAUAAUGGAUUCUGUUAAUCGAAUAGAUUUCUUUAAUUAAAUCCUUCUCUAUGACAAGAAAACACGAUAAUUUAGUAAAGCUCAAGUAUUAGUCAUUUUACUUUAACUAAGUUAUGAAUUGUCGAGUAAGCUUAUUUGAACUUCUUGUGGUUGGUUAAAAUUAUUGGAGGAAAGAGGGGUUUACUAACUUGGAUUGGCUAAUGCCUUUGAGGAAGACUACACUAAUAGGAUGAAGGAAGUGAACAAAAAGAAACUUGUAUUUCUCAACUCCAAAACUUACACAGUUGGCUUGUUACAAAAUGGAGAACCCUACCCCUUUAUAUAGUGUUUAUAUAAAACUUCUAGUCCACACAAUUUCUAAGGACUCCUAGACCACAUAUUUACAUAAGACUUUUAGAUCACACAUUUGGACAAAAUAUUUUCCUAGAAUACUCUAGAUAGAUUGUAUAUAUAAGACCACAUAUUCUUCUUGUCACAUUACCACAUUUAUCACCACAUAUUUUACUUAAAUAUUUAUAGAUUUUUCUAGACAAUGUUUCGAGAAAUGCUAGGCAUUUUUGGCUUUUUAAUUGAUUUAAGUGUGUGAACAAAAUACUUAAACUCAUAUUAUUUAGUCCAAGAAAUAAAGUUUACUACUCAACAACAAUAAUCAAAAAUUCAAAUUAUCAUUUUAUCAAUCUUUGAAAUAGACCUUCCACAUAUGGAUAGCUCAUUUGAAUUUUAAAGAAGGAUAACCUAUUGGAAUUUAAAUCUUUUUGAUAUAGCUAAAAGGAUAGUUCUUUUGAAUUUAAACUCAUGUAUAAGCUACAAAGUAGAGUAGUUAUUGUAUUGAGCUCUAUAUAUAAAGAACGUGUAUUCACGAUUCAAUAUAUAAAAAAAUCACAAACCUAUUAUUCUCUCCUGUGCUUCCUUAUCCCAACUUCUUCUCACCAUCAAUACCAAUCUUAAUCACACAAACUACCCCAUGCGGAGAAAUCAUGCCCUAUCCUACUUCCAUGGUCAGUCCAUUUUUGGUUACAUUCAUGGCAUAGUGAAACCACCUCCGAAAGAAGUUGAUUCCCCGCAUCACAUUUCUGAUGCUCUCUUCCAGAUUCCAAACCUCAAUAUGAAACAGUGGCCUGGAUUCAUUCUUCAUUCCCACCAUAAAUACUCCCCUCACUGAAACUUUCCUCACUCAGAUCAUGGCCUACAAUAUCUCCUUAGAACUAUGGCUUGCUGUCAAAUGCAAUAUCUCCUCAUUUCCUCGCACUUGAACUGUUCAAAUCUGCACUAGAUUUAAAUAUUUAAAUUUUAAAUUUUUAACUUUAUUUAAUUUUUUAAGUUAAAUAUUAUCUUAUACACAAAAUAAAUAAAUAAAUUAUUUAUUAGUAAAAUAUCACUUAUAAGUAAAAAAUUCAUAUAAGAACCCAUAAACUGAAAAUUUUACUUAGGGACAUGCAUAUAAUUUUAUUCUUUUAAAAAUCUUUCUAAACUAGUGGAUAAUAAACUCUGAAACAUAGGUUUGAUACUUUUAAAAAUCGCUACUAAAACCACAAAAAAAUUGAACUGCUCGAAUUCUCUGUUGGAAGAAUCGAUAGAUUUAUAAGGAAUAGAAAGUUUGAUGAGUGUGUCGACGCCGUUGCCCUGGUUUGCCUCUCUGCCAUUCUUGAAUACCUUGCUGCCGCGAUGGGUUAUUGGUUUUGUUUGUUCCCAUUUCGUACAUUUUUUAUGUUCAGAAUUUACUAUAUGGUUCUGUUGAUUGAGGUUUUGGAGCUUGCAGGAAACGAGGCCAGGGACAAGAAGAGGAACAGGAUUGCGCCUAGGCAUAAACAAUUGGCUGUAAGGAAUGAUGAAGAGUUGAGCAAGCUUUUGGGAAAUGUUAUGCAAAUGGUGGGGGUUCUGACUAACAUUAAUCAGUAUUUGUUGCCAAAGACAGCUGCCAGAAAAGAAAAAGAGAUUGGCUCUGCUUCGCAAUAGUUCUACAGUUUUUAAUGUAUUAUUUACAGUUUUUGGAUGGAUAUUAAGCCCUUAUUUGAUCACUAUUAUUUGAAACUCUUUUUUCUGCAUUCUCACUUUCAACCACAUAUCCACACAAUGUAAUAUUUUGCAUGUAAUCCAAAACUUUUCCUUACUUUUAACUACACAUUUUCCUAAAAAACACUGUCCAAAACAUAGUUUUCCAAGAUAAUGGUUGUCAAACAAUGGCCAAGGGUUUUGGUCUUCAGAUUUUUAUCAGUUAAGACUCUUCUAAAAUAUAAUUUUUUUUGUUUAAUUGUACGAGUCUAUGUUUUUUUAUUUAAUAUGUCAAUAAUCAGUUGUCUUAAGAUUAUGCGACUGAAGACAUAGAUGUUGCUUGCUUAACUAUUUGGUGGUAACUGGCAUUGUUUGAUAUAUCGAAUGGGAAUGAAUAUUCUAUUAUGUGGCAUAUGAUAUAUAAAGCACUAAUCUUUGGAGUAAAUUGGAUAUGAAUGCCGAUUGGAUGUUUUAUAAGCACCCUCAAUUAAGUUAAUAUGGGUAUUAGUAGCACCAACGUUGAAAACAACUAAAUUGAUCAUUGUUCGUUUUCGAUCUAGUACUCAACAUAUUUGGAACAUAAACAUCAAUGGGUUUCAUGAUUUGGACUCAGUCUACCCAUUUGUACUCGUAUUUAAGGUUUGUAGACGUGGUCGGACAUUUCUCUGGCUUGUAGAACUCAGCGAGGAUUCUUUAUAGUAGAUUUACUUGGUUGAUGAAAUCUACACAUUGUUGACAGUAAGCUAUCUGAAGCCCUUUAGUUAUAUCCUUCCCAGGUGGUAGCCUUACAGCUUCUCUCAGGUUUUCACUGCCUAAAGUUGCAUCAAUAUGUUUUCUUGGUUGUACCAUCUUAGUUUGCCAUAACAUUCUUUGGCUCCUUCAAUUGCUAAAAAAAUAAAAAAGCCUAAUGCCUCUUCACAAAGAAGAGGAUAGAGAAACUAGUUUCCUCCCUAUUAUUCAAACAUAGAGAAAUAAUUACCACAUAGGGCUAAUUACCCAAUCUAAUUUUGUAUCUGCAUUCAAUGUCUCGUAUAAAGAAAAUUACUUUUGUACUAAUGGAAGCGGACCCUGGUGAAAGUAAACCAAUAUUCAGUGACUAAAAAGUUAAAAUUAAGUAAAAUUUAUAUUAUAAGUUAUCUAUACCUAACAGAACACUUAUGAUGCACGUGCAACACAUGUGAUGUAUUUGAUUAUGUAAUUGAAUGUCUAAUUCUUGGUGAAUUUAUAUUUAUACGAGAUUCUUUUUUUAACGUCCGAGAAUAUUAUUUACUUACAAGUGAAAAUUUUCUUAUAAGUAAUUCUUUUGACUUAUAAUUUACUUAUUAGUAAUUUUUUUACCAUGAUUGGAUUUUUCGUGCAAGUUAAAUUUCUACACAUGAGUAAAUACACACACACAAACAACUUAUUUACUUAUGAAUAUAUGUGUUUCAAUUCAAUUCAAAAUUUCCAUAUUUUUCAUGAAGUAUUUGAAUUAAUAUUAUGGUCUAAAUCUAUUCAUAGAGGGUGUUAUUUUAACCGUGUUGACUAAAGGGAGGUUAGGACCAAUGGCAUACAUCCACCUUGGCAAAAGUUAGCCCAUAUUUAAUUCUUAAAAACAUGAAAUUAAGUUAAAUUUUUUUAUUAUGAGUAUACAUAUUUUAAUUCAACUAAUUUUACUCCUUAUUGUUCAUGAAAUAGUGAAUUUAAUAUAUGUUUUAAAGCGUUACAUAGACAUUAUUAUUCCAAUCCCAUAGACUAUAGGGGUAUAACACCCCAUAUUAUGUUAUUUUGGGUGUUAAUUACAAUAAACGUUGAAUAAGAUUAAAUUGAUCUUACUACAACUGGGCAUUGAGCCAUUCCUUCAUGUACUCAACAUAUUUGGGAAUGGAAACUUUGCGUCUUCCCAUGUGUACUCCUUUUUUGGGUUAGUAUAUAUUGUUUGACAGUUCUAUGGUUUACAAAACACAGUAAGGGCUCCAUAGAGCAGAUUCAUAUGGUUGAUAUCUACAGUGUUGACAGCAAGCCAUUGAUUUAUAUAUAUCAGAGGUGGUUGCCUUGCAGCUUCUCUCAAGUUUCCACUUCCUAAGUUUGCAUUUUAAGCUACUUAUAUUGUCUACUUUUUUUUAACAAAACAUGUGCUUGCAUGUACAACCCAAAUUAUUUAUUUUUAAUUUAUAACUAGUAGUAUAAUUGAUUUUUUUAUUCUAGGUGAAUUUGUAUUUGUUUAGUUUUUUUUAUACCAUAUGAGACUUUUUACUUAUAAUUAAUUUUAUUUUUACUUAUAAAUAAAUUUUCACUAACGAAUGACUUUUACCUUAUAGGUAAAUUUUAUACCAUGAACGAUUUUUUUCUUUUCAUAAAAAUAAAUUUUUACGUAUAUGUUUAUAUAUAAACUUGUUUACUUAUGGGUAUAGGUGUUUUAAAAUGAUUGGUAAAAUGAUAUUUUGAAAUUUUUGAUUACUUUAAACAAUCAUAAGGAGUUCAAAUGAGCUUACUCAAAUGUUUCUGAUUUAGUUGAAGUGCAAUGACUGAUUCCUGAGCCUUACGAACAUGAAUAUACACUACAAUAAAAUGUACUUUUUACGGCGUGCAUUGCAUGCCAUAAAAACCAAUUUACGGCAUGUGGCGGCAUGCCAUAUAAAGCAAUGCCGUAAAAAGUAUUUCCUUUUUACGGCGUGCAAUGCAUGCCGUCUGUGAACACCAUCAAAACCUUUUAUUUUUUAAUGGCGUGCAUGAGGUCAUGUAUUUUUUUUUUUAAAAAAAAUUGUUGAUUUAUUUGAUUACCAAUAGUAAUUACAAAUCAAAAUUCCAUAAAUAUAACCGGGUUUUUCAUAGAUUCCAUAAAUAUUGAGUACAGUUUAAUACAAUAUAUCAAUGUAAAAUUCAUUUCAAUACUUCUCAAAAAGUAUAUACCACUUCAGAUAAAAAAAUAAUUCUUGGUGCCUUUGAAACUUCUUCACUAUGCAAUUACAACUUCUUGCUAUUUCUUUGUCUUCUUUCCUGCUGCAUUUAUGAGAGAUAAAAAUUGUAUAAAUGCUAACUAAAGGAAAGGUCACUGAACAUAUCAAGAAAAUGUAAAACGAACCUUUUGAAGGUUGGUAACAAUAUCCAUCGUAAGCUCUGAAUCUGCGGGUUCUUGAUAAUCAAUUUUAGCUCCUUGAACACCCUUUGAGACAACAGUGUUCGUGUUCUUAUCAGCAUAAAGAAAUUCCUAAAAAAUUAACAUUGAUCCCCUAAUGAUCUCUGUCAACAAUGUAAGAGAAAUCGCAUCUGUUUCCUCUCUUCUUUCCUAAUAUACAUUCUACAUGCCUUAUGGACUCAUAAUAUUAGGUGCCAAACUGAAAAGUGUACUUUUAUGGUACCUAUUUCAUUUUCCUAAAUAACAUAAUUCAAGUAUGUAAAUUAAGAUGCAUAACCCGCAGUAAGUAGAGGUGAGUAGAAGUAUAAGACUGACAAGUUCAAGUACAAGCUGAUUACAGGGAAAGUUCACCAUUGUCUGCAAUCAAAACUUUAAUUUUGGUUGUUCCACUCUAGUUGCAUUCGGCUUCUAUCUUAUACACCACAUCUAUUCUGGACAGCACCUUUCUGAAUACAACAUGACGACCAUCCAACCUGUUGAACAUUUAACUUUUGUUAGAUUUUCAGGCUUAAUAAAGAUCUGAAAAUGGAUGACAGUUUUCUCAUAAUAGCAGGAUCAUAAAUUGUAUAGUUACUAGCUGGUCGUCACAGAUGAAAAAUUGUGAACCAUUAGUGUCCUGCCUAGCAUUUACCAUAGACCUAAGCCUUGAAAAUUGGACAAAAAUAAUAAGAUGACACAAUGAAUGCUUUCACACUGUGAAACUCAGAAGUCUGAAAUCAUGGAGUGAGAUGGUAUUAGGGAAGGGGAGGGCAUAUAUAGGCAGUUCUCCUACCAGGUCUGGUAUGUUUGAUUUUCAAAUUUUCAUCAGCAAACUUCUCCCCAUAAAUUGACAGUGUCUUAGCUUUUGAAUGAAAUUAGAGUAGGACACAGUCAAUGGAAUUGUAGGAUGUCAUCAAAAUUAACCCACAUAAUAAGUCAAACCUGAUCAUAAUGGUAUAACAUUUUCAAUCACAGAACAAUACAUUGAAUAUUCAUAACUAUAAGUCAGAAUCAAGAAAUUACCAUGUUGGUAUGGCCAACUCUCUUUACUGGGGCCUCGCCUGAUUGCGCAGUAAUUAGUAAGGAAAGGAGGAUCUUGACGUUUCACACAAUGACAUGACAUUGUAAUUGCAACUUCUGCAUAAUCCAUUCUCCAACUUUGAAAUAACAAGAUCAACUAGCUCAAUAUACUUUUAAGAAUCCUCCAAUAAAAUUAACAUGUGACCUCUAUAUAGCGGUUAGUUAAGUGACAUUAUUUUCCAAUCCCGCCCAAUUGACUAGGUCAACAUAUCCAAUUGCAUCAAUUAGUGGGACUUGGAACCUCAUAUCUUAUCAUCUCAUCUUUUUUGCUAAAGCUAGG
rnacentral:lncRNA from 1 species